AAAUGGCUUAGAUUUAAAGAUAUGAUGACAUUAAAAAACGAUGAGUUUGGAGCAAUUGCUUAUAUAUCUCUGAAAAAUUUUCGACUUUCUAAUUUACCUCUCUUAAAAGGUUAAUAUUAAAAAUACCAUUUUUACAUUCCAAAUUAUAAAGUUAAAUUCAAUUAGCAAUAGCCGUUAUACCUAUGAAAUUACUAUUUUACCCUUUCAAAUAUACACUUCUUCCAUCACUAAUUUUUCUUAUUUGUCUAAGUUAGAGGUAAAUUUUGUUAGCAAUAGCAGUUAUCUCUGUGAAAUUACUACUUUGCCCUAAAAAGUAUUUUAAUUUUUGAUCUUUUCAAAUAUACUAAAUUUUUUUAUUUGCUCUUAAGUUAAGAAUAAAAGAGGUAUAUUGAUUAUUUUUUAACUCUUGCUAGAAAUUUAACUCACGAAAUAACUUAACGGGUGGUAACUAUAGGAGUAUUUUUGAAUAACGAAAAAAUAUAUAAGAAAUAUAUUGGAAACAAAAAAAAUAAAAAUAAAUUAGAUAUUUUUGAAAUUUUAAGAAAUAUAUAUAUAGAGAAUUAUUCCUUGAAAUUAUCUAGAAGCCAAAUCGCUUGUGGUAAGAUAUCCUCCCAAAGUUAAUCCGAAGUGUGCGUAAAUUUGAGGUUGACCCUCGAAUUUUAUAUAAUUAAGUUUCGGGAUUUUAUGAUUUUCUUUUUUUAUUAUUUUGGACUCUGAAACCCAUGGACUGUUUAAAACUUAAUUAAAAUGAAAAAUUAAAAUGAGGCUCGCAUUUACAUGCUACAUGUCACUUUGGGGUGAAUUCAAAGAGUUGACGAGUCCCUUCCCUUCAAAAUAAUUACUAGUUUUAAACAUAUAAUUUUGACAGAUUUUUUAAAUUUCUAAAUUCAAAAAGAAAAAGCUUUUUCUUUUCAUUGGAAGCUCGAAUAAAUGAGGAAAGAGAGCAUUCCGAGGGUGUUUGGUUUCUCAAAAAAUUCUAUAAAAUUAUAUUUUGCAAAAAAAAUAACUUUUUUUUUUAAUAAUUUUUGUUCUCCAGAUAAAAAAUCUAAAAAAUAAAAAUAAAACUUUUUCAUAAACUCAAAAGAAUUCUAAAAAACUAUUCUUUAAAAAAAACUAAACAACCUUUUCAACUGAAAAUACCUACUCUUUAAAAGGCUCCACAAGUACCAAUGUUUAUUACCACCAAUUAAUGAGCUUAAAAAAAUAAUAACAACCAUAAUUAAUGUGUACAGAGUGAAAGAUUUUAGAACGUAGUUAUACUGGUGAUAAGACUGUCUCCAACCAAUCAAAUGAAUCUUUUUUUAGUUAAUCUAUAAUAUUAUAAUUAUAUAAAAAUAUUUUUAUUAUAUAUAUAUUUUUAAAAGGAGUGAUGCGAUCGAUUUAUUAUUACUGAUGUAGUUUAAGUGCGUGCAAUUCUUAAAACUAAUGGAAAAGUAAAAAACGAAAAAUAAAAAAGCAGCGAUUGUGUCAUUGUGACAACCAUAAACCGCCAAACUCAAGGAAGUCUGUCGCACUAAUGCGACAGUAACGUCUACCCCCAAGCGCACUCCGUUCACACCACCUACCUCUAUAAAAAUAUCCCCAAUUAUUCAGAAUCUAAAAUUUAGUUCUUUACAUCAAUUAAAGAACUCUUAUCUUAUAAUGAAUGAUGCAUUUUACUAUCCGUGCUGCUUGAAGAUUCGAAUUUUUUCUUUGUUUUUUUUUUUUUUUUGUAGAUUAAUUAAAGGGAAGUAGGUAGGUAGGUACCAGAUAUGCCGAUGUCGUAGCCGAAGAUGGAGCCUCCGACGGCGGCGACGAUGCAGGCCAUGACGACGAACGGCGUCACCCGCCCUUUGUACUGCGCCGCCCGCUCCUUCUUGAUUCCGAUCGGCGCGGCCCCUCCGCCCGCCAUCUCUUCUUCUUCUUCUUCUCCUCCCCUUCACCAAAAAUUCUCAACAAACCCAAUUAAACUCGAUCUCUAGCUAAUUAACACUCACUACAAAUUAAUAACAAGUAUACGUGUAUAUAUAUAUAUAAAGCUGGAUAUAUCAUGAACUAAUAAUUAAGAACUCUCGUUGACCCAGCUUUUUUUUUUUUUUCCCUGGCUUUCUCUCUCUUCUCUUGAAUAUAUAUAUAUAUAUAUAUAUAUAUNGGGGUGAGAGAGAGAGAGAGAGAGAGAGAGAGAGAGAGAGGGGGAGGAGAGCAUUAAAUAGCGAUCGAGUAAGUUGGGAACGCAGAGCACAUGGACAAUUCCGGCUUUGUCCGGCUGUUGGCCUUUUUCUUUUUCCUUUUAAGUUGGAUUUUUUUAAAAAAUAAAAACUCAGAAGUGGGAUGUGGAAUUGUGGAUGAGAAGGAGACGUCACCCACAGCAAAUUAAGCACGGAAAGGUGUAUAAUAUACACUCUCUUGUUCUAACAUAUAGAAAACAAGUUUUUCUUAAUAAAAAUUUAGGUAAACUUCAAAUGCUAUCAUGUGAUUUCGCACUUUUCUAUUUUAAUAUUUUAUAAUAAUUUAAAGUGUACCAAAUUUAUAUCACGUGGUUUCAUUUUUAUCUUUUCGUCAGCUUUUUCGUUAAUAUUUCGUUAAAUUAUAUACAAAAAAUUUCAGAUACUCCAUCUAAAUUUAUUGAAUAUUUACUUUAGCACCUUUUAGUUUUAACUUGUCACUGAUUUAACGAAAAUAAUUAGUGAAAUCGAUAAUAAAAUGAUAAAAAUAAAAUCACAGAGCACUAAAUUGAUACACUUUAAACCAUAAAAUACUGAAGUGAAAAAAUGUGUACGUAACUACAGAAGUGGUAUUCGAAGUUUUCCCUAAAAGCUUGUUUGUGGAUCUCUUUACAUGCAACCAAAUACUCAGAGAAAGCGAAAUGAAUUAGAUUUUUUUUUUUUCCUCCUCUAUGGUAUAUUAUUGGUUGGAAUAAAUGGCGUUCGAGCCUUAAUAAAAUUUUAUAUAUAGCAUUGGAGGAGGCAUCAAUCCCAUAUAACCAUUUUGGGUUAAAUAUUUUAUAAUUAUCAAAACUUUCGUCGGGUUACAGGAAACCACCUAAUAUUUUAAAAGUUCAUAUGUACAGUCCGAAGUUUUAAAAUAUUAUAAUUAGUUCAUACUUCAUCAAUCUAAAGUGAUCAAUAUUAGCCAAUCACACAAGAAAUAACAAAAAAUACAUACCAGUGAUAUAGAUAAGCUUUUUUAUAUCAAAUAUAAUUGCUUUUUUUUUUUUUUUUUUUUAGAGAGAGAGAUUAAAAAAAAUGCUAAAUUAUAGAAAACUCUCAUGUCAAAAUUCGAUUUUUCACUUUUUCCCCCCUGUCAUUUAAAAACUUACAGUUUGCCCCCUUGUGAAAUAAAAAAUAUUCAUUUUACCCCCUACCGUCAGUGAUCCGUUAGGAUUCCGUUAUAAAAUAUUUUUUAUGCCAAAAAUACCCUCCGCCUUCUCUAUUGUGUUUCGCCCUCUUCCGCCUCACCGCCUCGCCCUCCUCCGCCUCACCGCCUCGCCCUCCUCCACUGUCUCGCCCUCGCCCACAUCUCCGUCCGCGCCCACAAACACCCUUCGCCCUCCUCUGCCGCCUCGCCUUCGCCCUCGUUGCCCUUGCCCACCUUUCCAUCCAUGCCCACCUCGAUCGAUUUCCUCUCCACUGUCGCCGAAAUGGAGGGGCGACGAGGGUGCAGGAGGAGAAGGGAAGCAGGUGGAGAAGAAAAUGGAGAGGAACAGCGACUGAUCGAGACGCGAAUCGCGGCUGAUCGAGGCGGCGGAUGAACAAGAUGAGAGAGGAGACGAAAAUGAUGAGGGGCAAAAUAAUCAUUUUAUCAUCACAGUUCACACAGUACCCCCUGUGAAUAUUUUUAUUUUACAAUAAGGCAAAAUAUAAGUUUUUAAAUGACAGAAGAAAAAAGUGAAAAAUAAAAUUUUGACAAGAAAAUUUUAUAUAAUUUAGCCGGAAAAAAAGGGGUAGAAAUAAGAUACUAGUAGGCCCACUGACAUUUGCUAUCAAUAUCACCCAUGUCUUUCUUUAUCUUCCAAUCUCUAUCACCCCCAGAAUUCAAACUCAAUCUAUGCACAUCAGUUUGCCAAGUAAUUCAAAAAACAACCAAAGCCACAAAUUAGAAUUUAAGCAUACUUGGCAAAAUGAGGAGCAUCAAUUACUUCAAGUACUUAAUAUGCAUCUAAUAAAAUGAAGAAUUUCUGUUCUCAACGAUUGUGCCUAGCGUAGUUGGCCAAGACAGAAGUCCAAUUGUUUUACAUUUAUCGUUCUCUUUCAAUAAAAAAAAAAAAAAAAAUCUAAUCUCUCCUCUUGUCUACAUUUAAUUUGAGAAAGCAUCUGCAAAGUCAAUGAGUCGGUUUCGCAACAACAAUUUUAACAGUAAACUAGCAGAAGUUAGCUCCAAGGGUAUAAGAAAGAACUUAGAACUUUAAACGGACAGAUUUCAUUACUUUACGUGAAAAAGAAUUCGGAAACUAAGUCAAUAGUUAUUCUAGCAUGCAUUUUGCCCCAAGAAUUUGAAAACAAGGGCAAAAGAGGAGCACCCCACAGAGAAUAAUAUUCUGUACUUUUUUUAAGGAUUAAUUUCAUAUAGGUCCCUCAAAAUAUAAUGAAUUACAAAUGUAUCCCUAUAAAGUUCAAUUUUUAUAUGUUGAUUUUACAAAAAUCCUAAUUUUUCAAAUAUAUCCUUGUCGUUAUGAUUCGUUAGAAAAAAUUAAUUAACCAUAGGUAAAUUAAGGUUUAAAGUGCCGUGGCACGGGGGCGUGCUGCUAUCUACCUGACACGGUACGGCGCCGGCACGCUUCCAUACCGACCAUGAUACGCUUGUGUGGCGAUGGAUAUAUACGACCUUCUACUGGUACGCUUUGGCAUGGACUUAUUUCAGUUUUUUUAGUUUCAAUAAGCUCUUAUAAUAUUAUUUGAAAAGAUUUAAUCAAAUAAUUAUAAAUAUUUGUUAUAUAUAACUUACUAUACUCAUUAAUUAAUAUAUUUGUAAAUUUUUUUGUAUGUAAAGUAUAAUUAUAUCUGAUACAGAAUAGAAAUUUUUAUAUGUUAAAUUUUUAAAAUGUAAAGACAUUUUUUUUUCUUUUUUUCUUUUAACCAUAUUACAGUUUUUCUUUUAUAAAAUACAAAAAAAAAAAUUUAAAAAUUAUUUUUAAAAAUUAUUUUAAAAAGUAUUUGAAAAAAAUUAUUUUUUUAAUUAAUUUUAAAAAAAUUAGUAGAUCUAUCAAAAAAAUUAAGUAAUAUGGUUUAAGCAUCAAUUGAUUUAAUUUAACUUUUAAUUUUUUCAGUAAUUUUAAUUUUCUAGCGCAAAAAUAAAAUUUUAUAUUUGAUGUGACUCAAAAUUUGUUUAUUGAGUUCGAUUUUGUUCCCUUAAUUCGCCUUAUUUGUGAAGAAAAAAUACAUAUCUGUGGUGAAAGCGGAGGGUUCAGACAAAUUUUUUGUCCGUAUAUUGAUAAACAAAAAAAAAUUAAAUUAUAACUUUUUUAACUUACCUAAUAAGUAAAUUUUAAUUUGCAAUAUCUUUGGGGGACGUAGAGUACCCAGAAUGUUUUGAAUAUCCCAAAGAACAAAAUAAAAAAAAAUAUUAAAAAAAAAGUAAAAAAAAUAUUAGCACAGUGCCGUGCCGGCACUGUGCCGUGGCACGCUGCCUCGUGCCACUCUGUCUCGUGCGGCACAGCGCUGUGUACUGCAACACGGAGGGGGGUCCGUGACCCCUACCCUCCUGUACCGUGCCACCUUCUUGGUGGCACAGAACGCACCGCCCCGUGCCGUACCACACGGUACAACACUUUAAACCUUGGGUAAAAUACUUAAUCCUUGCUAGUUAAUGAGGUGUACCUCUUCACCCCUUUUCAAUUAACAGUUGAGACUUUUGGAAGGUCAUAUUUGUGAUGGCAAAAAAGUCAUUUCACUUAUAAAAUAAACAGUUCUUUAAUGAUAACAAAUAUUUGAAAGUAUUAAGAUUUUUAUAAGGACAACAUAUAAAAAUUAAACUUUGUAAGAAUAUAUUUGUAAUUUAUUAAGUUUACAGAGAUCUGUAUAAAAUUAACUUUUUUUUAAAUAUUGCUCCUCUUUCCAAACCAUAGAAAGUGACUGGUUUGAAUGUUUUGUAGGCAUUUGACUUCAUUAGUAUAUUUGGUAGAUUCAUUGUUAGAAAUUCUCCUUAAAAUGGAUAGAAAAAGCCCCAAGUUACCAUAAAAGAAUAUAUGGUUUACAGCUGAUCCAGCAAUGCUUUUAUUAAUUAAUUAGACUAGCAUGUGGAGAUUGUUGAGCCCAGGAAGUAUGCGAAGAGACUUAUUCUACACAUCACUACUCUCUCUCUCUCUACUUAUACUAGAACAUAUUGUAAUGAAUUUAUUAUGGCAAAAGUGAGAGAUGAGUUUAUUAAAGUCGAAGAUGAAGAACAAAAUCGCACACCAGGUUUAAGUCCACGGAGGGUCACUUAAUUCCUAUAGUAGUAUGAUCAACAUCAAUGAUUCGGUCGAUCAGAUUAUUUGGAUGCAUAAACAUCUCUAUUAUCGAGUUGAGCUCUUGUGCUUUUCAAUAAGCUCAUGAGUUUAACGUAUUUAUAAUUUGUUAAUCUUCGGAUGGCCUCAAAAUCUGUGCAAACUACUAGUAAAUGAGACUUACUGGUACACACCGUUAAUAGCACUGAAUGAAUCUUGAAACGAUCCGGUGGCUGAAAGGUUACAAGCACAAAUGCUUCUGUACUUUCAAAAGCACAUGAGCUCAAUUCUCUUUUAACAAAUUCAUUUUGUUUGCUCGAAAGAGUUGCUUGAUAGAAUGUAUAAAAAAAAGUACACAAGCGUAUAAUACAUUUCUAAGUGUUUUUUUUCCCUCAAAAAUACGAUAAAUUAGUUCAUAGGUUGAACACUUAUUGUGGAAGAUCAAGUUUAACCUCUUAUUUUGUAAUUACAAUAAAAAAAAAAUCUCACAUAUUGCAAUUUUAGUGGAUUAUAGGGGUGGAAACGAGCCGAGCUCGAGCGAGCUUACCUUGGCUCAAAUUCGGCUUGAAAUUAAUUUCGAGCAUAAAUUUAAGCUCAAGCUUGGAUUGAAAUUAAUUCGAGCUGAGCUCGAGCGAGCCUAAUUUCGAGUCGAACGAGCUCGAGCCCUAAACGAGUCGCUUGAAAUUCUCAACAUCAUACGAUCAAUAGUUUAAUUUGUAUAGAAUAUUAUCUAUAAUUUGAUACAAAAAUAUAUCUAAUAGUUUAAAGUACAAAAUAAUUAUAUAAAAUAUAGUAUUAUAAUAUGAAGAAAAAUAAUUUAUGAGUUGAAUACUUAAUCUUUUCAGGCUCACAUGUCUUCUCUUCCGCAUUCAAUUUUCAUAUUAUUCAUUUUUAUUUAUGCAAUCAAAAAUAAAUAAAUUAUAUAAAUAAAUAUUGGAUUAAACUAUCCAAUUAUAUAUAACUAAAAUUAAAAUUUUAUAUAAAUAAUAACUUUUUACUUUAAAAAUAUUCUGUAUAUUUUCUCAAGCAUACAAUUAAUAGAAAGGUAAGCAACGACGGGCAUAUACUGUUUUUUUUUUUAGAGAUAGGUAGCACGCUACCCGCUUCGUUUAUUUCAUUUAGAAAUAAACUUAACUGAAAAUAUGAAUCAACUAGGAUUCGAACUUGGGUCUCAGGUACCAACCAUCAAGCCCUUUGCCACUUGCUCUACGGCGAGCAUAUACUAUUAUUUGGUAACUUGAAGGGCUUCCAGCUUGGCUACUUAGGGUGAGAGACAGGAAAAAAGAAAGAGAAAAACAUAUUGAAAUUUUAGAACUCUGUGAAAGAAAGAAAGAAAAUAAAAAUGUAUAAAUUUAAUGAAAUUUUGCUCUUUUAUUUGUCGAUUGGAUUUGUUUUUAUGGGCCAACAACAUUGGUUCAAUUUUAACUAAACUCAGGUUAACCACCCACUCAAUCUUAGAGGACCAUUAUCAUUCUAAUUGCGCAUCUUUUCAUCCAACGGCCAAAAACUCAAUAGUACCAAGGACUUGAUACUAUUGAUAGUAUAGCAGCAUAAUUCUAUAUAUAUAUAAAAUAUAUAUAUUAUAUAUAUAUAUAAUAUUAUAUAUAAUAUAAUAUAUAUAUAGCGAGAGAGAGAGAAAGGAGAAGAUGGAUGAGAAGAGAGAGAGAGAAGUGGUGAUCUACUAUGUACGAAGCACGCGAGUGGCUACCUGUUCCACCUGUUUUUCGAAUGUUUGCGUACUUUCACAUCGAUCGAUCUGCCUCCUGUUAAACUUGAUCUAGAGUAUUUGAAGUACCCUUAGAAAAUAAAUUUUAUAUUUUACGAUAUAUUUUGCCUACUUGAAUCGAACGGGACUCAAAAUAACGGCUGAGGAAAUAAAAAUAGACCCAAAUAUAAUAAUAUGACAUAAAUUUUAAAUCAAAGAUAUGUUGAUCUUUUUUUAUUAUAUAAAAAUUUCUAUCAAAUUUCACGUGAUUGGAUUAUUUAUACACCGUUUAAACUUGCAAACGGCUCACUUACGGCCAUUGAAUUUUGUUGAUUUGUGAGCACUUCAUCAUAAGUACAUGAUAUCGAAAAAAUAUAAAAUUAAUUUUUACGUUACGUCUAACAUAUCUAGAGUCAAUUUAAACGGAAGCUCGCGACGAUUUGAAAGUCGCCAACAUUUGAAACGAGAUGGAAGCACGGAAGACUCCGUGCUUCCGAUAGAUAUGUGCCCACUCUAUUAUAUAUAUAUAUAUAAUAUAUAUAUAUAUAUAUAUAGUGUAGAACUACUAUUCUAUAUAUGUAGAACUAUUAUGCUAUCGAAAAUAUAGAGGAUUUGAUGUUUCCGAAUUUUUGACUCUUUGAUUAAAAAUUGUAUGGUUGGGAUGAUUGCGGUCCCCCCUAAGAUUAAAUAAUACCCCUAUGAUUGAGUGGUCCCUGCAAGGUAAUAAUAGUAUUAAUCCAAAGAUAAGAAAUGAUUAAAGGGGUUGAUCUAAGAAUCAAAAAAUCGAAAGCACCAAAUCCUCUAUACUUUCGAUAACAUAGUAGCUCUACUAUAUAUAUAUAUAUAUAUAUAGAAUUAGGCUGGAAUACUAUUAAUAGUAAAACGCUCUUUUUGCUAUCAAGUUUUUAACCCAUUGGAUGAAAAAUUGUAGGAUCAGGAUGAUAUUAGUCGGUUAGAGUUGAGUGGUCCCCCUAGGGUUGAGUGGUCCCCACUGGGUUAUAGUAUUUAAUCCAAUGGUUAGAAAUAAUGAAAAGAGCUGAUCCAAAGGCUAAAAAACUGAUAGCAACAAUGGUAUAUUCGAGCAUUUCGAGCUUUUCGAGCCUAAUUCGAACGAGCCGAGUAAUACUCAAGCUUGGCUUGAAAUGAAUUUCAAGUCUUUUUUUUUUGUUCAAGCUCGACUUAUUUAAUUUCGAGUCGAGCUCGAGCGAGCCAAAUAUCGAGUCGAAUGCGAGUCGAACGCGAACCGGCUUGCUCAUUUGCCAGCCCUAGUGGAUUACCUGUUCCGAUAACCAAACAGGCCCUGAGAUGAAUAUAGACUAACAAAUUAUAAGGCCUGUAUAUAUGCAUGUAGAAAUUAUUAAAGCAUGUAAUAACUAAGCUAUAUAAUAACUUUGAUUACAUGACUUAUUAGAGCAACAUUUUAUAAUUGUCUAUAACUGAUUUAAUAUUUGAAUAAUUGUCUUAUAUUACUAGAAUUUUUCUUUCCUUUGAGCCGUAUAGUCUGUAAUAUUUAAAAAGGCUUAAUCUUCUAUUGAAUAUGAUCAAGCCUUAAGCAUACAUGCUUUAAGAGUCCGGCUAUUACACUCUUAUAAGUACAAUCACUUUCAUACUUACAAAUCGUUUUUUAUAAUAUAGCUUCCAAAUCGACGGUCCAUACCGUUAAUCAUUAUCUAGAUCAUUCGAAACUUCUAGAAAUCAAAUUUUAUAAUUUUUUAACAUCAUUUACCUUACGAUCAGAAGAUCUUAAAAUUAAUAAUUUUUAACAAUCGGUAUAGAAUACUUGCUAGUUUAACGGUGUAAAAAAAAACGAAAUCAAUUGAAUUUUUGAUAGAAAAUUCUAUUAACUAUCUAGAUAAAGAUCAAUAACUCCGAUCUUAAAUUGAAGUAUAUAAUCCUUUAUUUUUAGAAAGUCGUUUAAUUUUGAUUGUUCAUUUUAUGCCCGCUUGAUGAACUUUACUAUAAUUUUAAAAAAAUUAUGAAAUUUAUUUUCUAUAAAUUUUAAACGCACUAGAUUAUAUUUAACGGUAUGGAUCAUCAAUUCGAAAACUCUUUUAUUAAAAAUAACUUAUCGUACGAAGGGCUUUAUACUCAUAAGAGUAUAAUAGUCCUACUCCAAACUUUAAUUUCACGACAUUAGAGCCUACUAAAUAAUACAAAACAACUGUUAUUCUCUAAAAUAUAUUUAAUAUUUAACACCCCCCACACUCGGGAUCGAGACUUUUUGACGAGCCAAUAACGUGGACUUGAAUUAAAUAGGAGGAAAUAAAUUAUAUUAGGAGUUAGAUGUGACUCGAACUCAGAAUCUCUUGCUGUGAUAUCAUAUUAAAUAAUACGAAAUAACCGUUAUCCUUAAAAAAUUUAAACUAGUAAAGAACGUAUUUUUAUAUUUUUAUAUUUUUAUAUUUAACGGAGCCGAAGCAGCCAAAAAAUUCUAUUCAAGUUGUAAACUAAACUUAGUAAUUAGAGACACGUCAGCCUCCUAGGUUAAGGUAUACAAUCAUGUCAUAUAAUUCUUUAAAAUUAUAUAGAACGAUAUUUUCAUCCUUUUCACCGAUUUAAUAAUUAAAUAAAUAGUUGUCUUAUAUUAUUAGAAUUUUUUUUUCUUUUUAAUCAUGUAGUUAUAAUAAUACAUUUCGAUGAAAAAAGAAGAUACCAUCCAAAUGCGCUGUAAGUGGUGGUAGUCGUGAACAUCUAACUCCAUACUAGACCAAUAAAUAAAUGCAUUAUGGGUAGUUGUAAAAAAUUAGUUCAAACUUGAAUACUAUAAAACUUGAACACCCAAAAUGUGGCCACUUGAUCUAAAUUAGUCAUUGCUUUUUCUUCACCAUUAUUACCAGUAAUAUUUAUAUAAAUAGGUAUUAAAUGCUCUUAUCUGAUAGCAAGCGUGCAAAAGAAAGUAAAAUUUGGUAGGUCGGCAUUUACUUUAAAAUUAAUUUCAUACAUAUUCCUAUCAACAUAAUAAAUUACAAAUAUGUCUCUACAAAGUUCAACUUUUAUAUAUUGUUCCUGUACAAAUCUUAAUGUUUUCAAAUAUAUCCCUCUGAUUUGUUGACGUUAAAGCACUGUUUACUUUAUAAGUAAAAUAAUAUUUUUACCAUCACAAACAUAUCCCUACAAAAUUUACAACUGUUAAUUAAAAAAGAAUAAAAAAGUCAAUUCACCUUAUUAACUAACUACGGUUAACUAAAUUUUUCUAACGGAUUAUAACAGCAGGGAUAUAAUUGAAAGCAUCAGAACUUUUACGGGGGCAACAUAUGAAAGUUUGAAUUUUGAUAGGAAUAUAUUUGUAAUUAACUAUAUUUGCAGGAACCUAUAUGCAAUUAACCCUUUACUUUAUCCUAACCUUGCUUGCAAUACUUGUGCAAGCAAUCUAUAAAUUGUAUGGAAGUGUGCAAGCAACCUAUAAAUUGUAUGGCGUCCAGUUUAUGAAAACUAAUCCACUUACAGUUGUUAUUAUUUAGUUGAAGAAUCUCUCACCUCCAGAUCAUUCUUAAAUAGAAUACUUAGAAUUUAUUCUUCUGGAUUGACACUACUCAACUAUCGACGCAAUUAAGUAAUUUUUAUCGACUAAAUUGAGAAUUUUGUUAAAUUUACGAGAAAUUUUAUCAAACUUUUGAUCUGGUUUGAUAAUGUAGUGGCUAAUGCACUCUACCUUUAUAAUCGGAAAGACUUUAGGGUGCGUUUGGUUCGCACUAUGAAAAAUUACUAGGAGCAAAAAGAUAUCCGAGAAUCUUAUUCCUAUUUAUCCUAUUACUAAGAAUGUAGUAUUUCGAUAUUUGGUUCGUACGGUCAUAUUAUUUAGUCAUGUUAUUUAAAAUUACCAAAAAUAUACAAUUUAUUUAUUUAUUUAAUUUUAAAUAAUACUAUAAAAAAUUUUAAUAUUUUUUUAGAAAAAAGAGAAAGAGAAUAUAGGUUAGAAAGAGAGAGCAUAAUUAAAGAAAUAGAAAGAAAAAUAGAGUCGAGAUUAGAGAGAAUAAGAGAGUUGAAAUUUUAGAAAAAGAGGGAAAGAAAUAACAAUUUAGAAAGAGAAAAAGAGUUGAAGUUUAGAAAGAAAAAGAUAAGUUUAGAGAGAAAUAUGAGAUUAUACUGUAAAGAAAAAUAAUAUCAACUAACCGGCAGGCCGGAAGAAAAAAAAAGAUUAGACAUAUUAUAAUUACUCCAAUCUAUUAAUACAAGGAUAUUCACCCUUCCUCAAAGAAAUGAGAUUAGUACUUUGAGAUGCAUCUCAUUCCCAAAUAAAUCCAGUAUUACCAUCUAGAUUACUUAGUGCGUUUAGCCAAACACCGUCAUAUGUUUUUAUUCUUAUUGGAUUACUAGAAAUCUUAAAAAUAUAGCGCGAACAAAACGUACCCUUAAUAUUAUAAAACUGCGGUGGCAACUAGAGAAGCAUAUAACAACAUGCUUCUCCAAUAAUAAUUUUACAGCACAAAUAGAGAAUAGAUUUAAAGAACUUCACAAUUUUUUGAACCAUCCAUAUAAAAAAUGGGUGCUUUUAGCCACCAAAUUACCAAUAACUUCAAACACUUCUUAACAAGUAAAACUAGAACAGCUAACAACUAAUAACUAUAAAAUUAUUAUAAAAUUAAAAAAAAUAACUUAACUAACUAGAAAAUGCUGAAAUUAAAAAAAUAAUAAUAAAAGUUAAGAGGGAUGUCAAUAAAAAAAAGAAAAAAAAAAAUUUUAAAAAUGCAGAGGAAUUUUAAAAAUGGCUCAAUUUAGACAAGCAAAAGCAUCAUUUUUUUAAGAGAAAUAGAUAGCAACUACUCGCUUCGUUUAUUUCAUUUAGAAAUAAACUUAGCUGAAUAUGUGAAUCAACUAGGAUUCGAAUUUGGGUCUCGGAUACCAACCACCAAUCAGAAGCAUCAUUACAAUUCAUGUCAUACGUUUCCUAUGACUUUUUCAUGACAAAUAAAUGUACCAUGCACUAGCCAUCAGCAUUUACUAUAAACUUCAAGAAGCUUUACUAGUGAAAAUUUUGUGCAAGUAGAUCAAAUAUUUUCUUCUCUUAAUAAUGGUAUUAUAUAGCAAGCUUUUAGACCCUUUCAAAAUCAUCUUAAUCACAUGUUCCAUCUCUAUAUAAACAUGGGCAUCUGACCCUACAAAAUUGAAUCAAUUCAUAACAAGUCUUUUCCAUCUAAAUGUGCAGAAUCAUGUUGAAAACAUGCAUAAAAAAAAUAACAAAACAAGUGUUGAAACAUACAUUUAGUCGUCAGUAUAGUUAAAUCUUAAAAAUAAUUCGUACACGAUCAAAAAGGUCAGCAAUAAACACCAGAUGGGCCUCUGUGCAAUACCGACAAAUAGCAGAACUUUUGAGUGACAUAUAUAUAUCCUCUAUUCCCUUCACGGAUGCAAACAAACAUCUUUAUAUCACAAUAUUGAGGCACAGUUCUCAUCAAAUUAGGUUAUCGAGAGAAUUUGACUGUGUAAGAUAUGUUCUUUGCAAAAUCUCCUUUCUCUAAAUGUUUUGAUGUAUGCAUCAACGAAUCAUCCUGAUAUAAAUUCAUUUUCAAGAAUGAUCUUACCACUGUUCAACAACCAACAAAAGCACAAAAUGCACAGCUGCGUAGUAUAAUCCCGCAAAAAUGCAGCAAGAAAAUCUUGAAGAAAUUAUGACGAGAAAAAAAGCAAAAAAGCAAACAGUAAAUAGUAGUCACGACAAGAAUAGAAAGCCAACAUAUAAAUCUGACCCACAUAUCCCUCAGAAUGCCUGGUAUCAACAACAAGUCAUAAAAUCCCGGUUCCUCAACCUCACCAACAUACUUGAUGAGAGAGCACCAGUUAUCCAUGAUUCUAAUGGCUGUUCAGAUUACUAAACUUUUCAUCACAGGGAUACUGGAUCAUGUCAAAAAAUAAAAAAAAUAAUAAAAAUAAUAAAAAAGGAGAAUAAACUCAAUCUCUCGAUCCACGAACUCUAGAAAAGUACAUCAAUCUUUCAUAUCCUAUACAAAUUCACAUGUCAUAGAAGUUCUAUUUGUGUAACUCUAUUCGGACAGCAACCUUCUAAUUACUGUUCCAAUCUGUUCCUUUUUAAAGUUUCAGCUUGGUAUCAGAUGCAUAUUUGCAAAACUGAGGUGACGAACAAUAUGAUUGAAUGAUUGAAUUAUCAGUAAUUUAAUCGUUAACUAAGCCAUCCUAUGAGUAUAAAAUGGAAACAAGAAAAUAUGAUCAAACAUAAGGAAUACAAACAAUAUAGACCAUCAUCGCCUAUCUUUCAUCAUCGGAACCAGCCAACCAGUAUAUUAUCUUCUUAUCCAACUCUAAUAACAGUGAGAAGUUUAGGAGAGUUGCCAGGAUACUUGUUAUCCAACUCGAAUUACGGCAAGAGGUUUAUGAGGGUUGGAUUCGGUGCUAUCAUGGAGUAACUACAAUGAGGGUGCAAGCAGUUUUGACCUCUCUUGCAUACGAGUUGGCUGUCUUCCAAUUUCUCGUCGAGGAAUACAUUUACAUAUGCAUGGUGAAGAGAAAUCGUCAAAGGGAUUAACGUACUAGUUUAUCCCAUUGUUAUGUGACUUGCCAAUAUGGCUAGUUUUGCAAAAUAUAAUGUAGAAUGCAUCCGCUCCUGAUCACUGCCAUGCUAAAACUGAUUGUAACCUUCUAAUUGAAGAAUGUACAUUCUACCACUGUAGACCAGCUAUUGGGAGUUUUCAAAUUCGAAAGUUAAUACUUGUAUUGACACACAAAAGCAGGUCCAGCAAAUUUAUACAAUCCUCAAAGCUAAUUAAAGAUAAAAUAUGACUAUGUUACACUGUAGUUGCCAGUCCCUUUACUCCAAGGCCUAGUUUGGUAUUGCAUUUCCAAAAGCUCCCACAUUCAUGCUUUGGAAGGUCCAAAAACUCCAAACGCGUUUUCAAUCUUCCCUUCUCGAAGUGCUUUCAAUCUUCCCUCCUCUUAUAUUAUAAAACUGUCGUGGCAACCAUCUUAAAAGAAGCAUGUAACCACAAGUUUCUCCAAUGGCAGCUAUCACCACAAUUUUAUAGCAUAGAAGGGAAAAAGGGAAGAGUUUUUACUCUUUUCUUUUCGUUUGGUGUGUGUGUGUUUUUUUUUUGUGGGGGGGUGUUGGGUUUGUUGGUGGUGGGGGUGAGGGGAGGAUGGGGUUGUCUAAAGCCUGAUCGCAGGUGCUUUUAGCCCCCACAAUACCAAAGAGGCCUAUGACUAAGUAUAGACUACAAUCUAACAUAAACCAUAAACCAAUGAAUGUAAUGAGAGAAUAAAAAAAGUAUUUGUUUCUCAUAAAAACCCUUUGUUGUAACUAUCUGGCAAACUACACAUCCCAUUUCAGUUUUCUCUUUUUUAAUUUCCUUUCUAGAAUGGACAAUUCUGCUUCUUUUUCCUGUUUUUUUUUUCAAUUUAUUCUCUACGACUGUUUAUUAUGGACGGCUGAAUGGCCGCACAUUUAGAAUGGAUCCUUUUCACUACAUAUUCCAUGGCUACAAACCCAAAGGUCAAUAUACUACAUAUUCCAUGGCUACAAACCCAAAGGUCAAUAUAGCUACCAGUUGUUGGCACUAAUUUACUGCCUUUGAUAUACAAUGUACAAUUUAACUUGGAGUUCACGGGAGCCUUCUGACUAUACUGGAGUUGCAUUCAGUGCAAUAAACAGAGACAACUAAGAUAAGUUAUAGACAGGAAAGAAAUUACAAGAUGAUGAAACUCAAGUGAAAAGAAAACUAAACAUCGCAGAGAGGUUUCAAAAUAUAGCGUAGUUAUAAAUAAUAGCGAACGAAAUAAAAAAACAACACCAAAUCCAAGCAAGUAACAAUAGAAUGAAAGCAACAAAUGCUACAAACUAGUACUUCUGAAAUACGAUUUAAUACAAACUGCAUUAGAGUUCUGGACUACAGGUAUCACAUAAGAGACUAAGCAAAAUAAAGAGGUAACGAAAGAAAAGAAAUCUAAGCCUAUCCGUUCUAUAGCACAUCUUAACACAGGUCCAAUUAGUCGGAAGAAAGUGGUUACUACUCUAAGCUACAUAAAUUGAAAAAAAUAUACUAGGAGCACAUACAUGACAUUAUUAAUUUAGAAGCACGGCAAACUAGGUAGCUGAUGAUGAUGAUACAGAUUGAGAUAUCGUGAAAUUAUCAUUUCCUGCUAAUUCUUCAAAUAUGUUUUGGACAAGGAAACUCCUCAUCAUCAAGAUAGCUCAAUCUAAUUUCACUGAUGAGAAGAGGUAGUGAACAAACCAGAAAGAAGAAAGGAAUCCGACUGUGCCAGUGGCAAGCAUGACAGCAAUGACCAUGAAGAGCGAGUAGCCUAAGUAGAGGGUCGCUGAAAUAGGCCCGCUUAAGCUCUUGAGAUCAAAAACAAGAUAGUUGACCGAGUACAAGAAGAUGUAGAUUGCUACCGAGCCCGAUGCAAAGAAUGACUUCCACCACCAUUUCCAAUCCUCCACGCAAAGAUGCAUGUAAGUGAGAACUAAAGAGACCUCCGCACAUACAACAACAAGAAGUAUCAACACGACGAAGAGAAAGCCAAAUACAUAAUAUACACGGCCCAUCCAAAUGCUCGACAUUAUGAAGAAUAACUCGAUGAAAAGGGUGCCAAAGGGUAGCGUUCCUGCUCCAAGCACUAACAACCAAGAUGGGUACUUUUGAGGAGGGAUUUCGCGCGGAAUUUGGUUCGUCCGAACGGGGAAUUCAAUGUGCGGAGCCUUUGCCCCAAGAGAUCCACCGAGAAGAGUGAGAGGGACCGAAAUGCAGAACCAAAGCAAAAGCAGGAUGACGAACAAAGAGAAGGGAAUCGCGCCGGUGCUGUGGCUACCCCACAAGAGGAAAUUGAGAGUGGUGAGAAUCAGAAAGGCAACGCCGGGGAAGAAGCAAGCGACGCGCCAGGAAACCGACACCCAUCCGGAGUGAUCACCGCCCUUUAUCGUCUUCCAAAGCCUAACAGCAGCAUACCCAGCCGCGAUUCCGAGAACCAGGUAGAAGAAGAGCAUCCCGGUGACGAGAGUUCCCCUCGAGGCGGGCGACAUGAACCCGAGCGCGGCAAACAGAAUGGUCACCACCGCCAUACCCAGAAUCUGAACCCCGUCCCCGACCAUCGCGCAAAGCAGCAGCGGAUGGCUCGGCGCCCUGAACACAUCGCCGACCACCAGCUUCCACCCCGAGAGCUCCUCGUUCAUCUGUUCCUGCGCCUCCUUGUCGAGCUCCUCGUACCGCGCCAGAUCCCUCCGGACGGUCCUCAGCAGGAUCACCAACACGAUCCCCGCGAGGAACGCGAUCACCAUGAGCGAAUUGAGGAUCGAGAACCAGUGAACCUUGGCCCCCUCCAUCUUCAGAUACGCGUCCCACCGCGACGGCCACUUGACGUCGCUCUCGACGAAGGCGACCUCGUAAGUGAACACGAUCGGCUGGUUCUCCCCGACGGCCAUGGCGACCACGGAGGGAUCGCACUCGAUCCUCCCCGGGUACUUAUCGUACAUCCUCAAGCUCUUCACGGACUCCGAAUCGUGCGCGACGCUGCAGGGCACGACCUCGAACCCGACGACCAUCCACCCGGGGGGCUCAUUUUGCGUCUUCUCCUCGUACCUAUGCACCAACACCGUAAACUUCAAAUGAUUGAACACGUAGUAGGCGCCGCCAUCGCGGACAUGAAUUCCGACCGGAUAACCGGUCCACCGGAGGGAGUAGCCGUCGUCGUUCCUGGUGUAGCGGAUCGCGGGGAGGUUGUCGAGGAUGAGAUUGACCUGGUACAGCUCGUCGAUCCGCUCCUUGAGGAGGGCGAGAGCGUCGGGGGCGAGCGGGUCGGAGCGACACAGCAUAACAGCGGAGUCGUUGACGUGCAUGUUGAAGCGGUAGGGGGAGUUCUCGAUGCGGUCGCCGAGGAGGAUCUCGCCGAGGUUCUCGGCGCUGUCUUUGAUGCCGCCGGGGGGGCGGCAGAAGAAGGGCAGAGAGUAGUAGCCGAAGGGCAUCUCGGUGCCGACGGAGGUCAGGGAGUUCACCUUCACGGAGAGGGCGUCGCCGGCGGCGUAGCGGUGCGGGUAGCUGCCGGGGAGGUAGAAGGCGGCGGCGAGCGGGAGGGCGGAGAUGAAGGAGAAGAUGAAGACCGCGGCGAGCGGGAAGUGAAACUUCAUCUUUGAUCCGGCGAGGAAAUGCGGUGUGUAGGGUUUUUGGGGCAGAGGAAGAAGAGAGGGGUCGGAGUGAAUACUUGUCGGUGAUGGAGGGGCAUUUACAACUAGUGCAGUUGCACCCACCGUUCCGGGAGCAUGUGGCAAAGAAUUUGACGGUUGGACUUCAAAAUUUAAAUUUGAAUUCUAAUUGAUUCAUCUUUCUAACUAAAUUUAUUUUUAAAUAAAAUAAAAAAAUUUCAAAAAUCUCUCUUCGUAGUUUUUCACUUUGCCCCCCUGUGAUUUAAAAUGUAUUAAUUUGCCCCCCUGUGGUUUUUCUUUUUUCUCUUUUUCUUAUCAAUUUUAUUAUAUUUUUUUUUAAAUUAGUGAUAAAGUUAAAAUUAAAGAGUACUAAAAUAAAUAUUUGAUAAAUUUAAAUGGGUAUCUGAAGUUUUUUAUAUAUAAUUUAAUGAAAUAUUAACGAAAAAUCUACCGAAAAGAUAAAAACCAAACCACAUGGGGACAAAUUAAGAUAUUUUAAACCACAGAGGGGCAAAGUGAGAAACUACAAAACCACAGGGGGGUUUUUGAAGUUUUUUUUAAAAUAAACGAAACGGAAAGCGUGCUACCUAUCUCUCUCAAAAGAAAAAAAAAAAAAGGAAAACUAAAAAACUAGUGCAGUUGUAAAAUUAGGUAAUUUCAAUUUUUGUCUAUGAAAAUAAUUGAAUAUGAUUUGUGAUUUAUUUAUACUAUAUGUAAUGCCGCGCAAAUACAGAUGAGAUAAAUGCUCGCAAGGAGUCGCACAAGUCGAAAUGCUCGCAAGGAGUGCAGAGUAGUAGGUCUUUUGUAAUCACUUCCCACCGAACCGGAGUCCAACCAGAAUAUUUGGUUCGGUUCAAGUUUGAUCGGUAGAAACUCGUACACUAAACUAGCUGCAUUUUUUUUUGUAAUAAGCAUUAGGCUUAAUUACAGAAGAGUUCUCUCAUAUAAAUGCCCAUUUUCACUUUUUUUUCUAUAAAAAAAUAAAUUUUAAUUUAUUUCUGUCAUUUUGAAGGUCAUUUUCGGUAUAAUAUAAGAAAUAAACGGAAUAAUAAUGUAACCCUGAUGUAAGGGAGGCUAAAACCAACAACUUGAAAUAUUGAUGAGAUAAGAAAAAGUAAAAAACGGAUAUUUAUAGAGAAAUUUUCUGUAAUUUAGCCUAAGAAUUAUGCUAAAAUAAAAUUCAUAAAAAAAUUUUUGCAAAUGCUUUUAUUUUUAUUUUUCACUCUGACUUUUAAAACCUUUAUAUUUUAUCUUCUUAAAAUUUUAAAAUUAUAUUCAAAAGAUUAUAGUAUUAAUGGAAAGGGCAAAAUGAUCAAAUUAUCUUUACUUGUUUUAUAAAAAAAAAAUAUUUUUUAAUAUUUUUAUAGAUACUUUUUAUGUAAAUUAUAAGAAAUAGGUGGAAUGGUGAUGAUUAAAUAUAUCAACUUAAAAUUUUGAGAAGAUAAAUUUUUGAAAGUUAUGAAAAAAAAAAAAAAAAAAACAGAUAUUCACAAACGAAUUUCUGUAUUUUAGCCUAAAAGUUAAGUUAGAAUAGUCUUCAAAGAUAAAUAAUUAUUUUACUAAGAGACACUUUCAAAUACUAAGUUUUUGAAUUGAAGAUAUGUACAGUUAAAUACAUUAUAAAAAAAAUUAUUAUCUAAAUCACUUUAGCUUAAAAAUCCUAACCACUAUUUGCACAACGAUGGUGUACUUAAUUAUUUUUGGCCAAUUUGCAUAAAAAAUCUACUUAUUUUGGGCUUUUGCAAAACCGGGUCAUCUUUUUCGUUUUUGCAGAUUCAGUCCGCUUUUUCAGCAAACUGGGCGGAAACGGUCCGUCUCGCUUCUCGCCCUCGCCUUUGCCCUUGCCCUCGUCCACGCACCCCCCACCUUCUUCGCCUCCAAUCCCGCCAAGACCGCGCCGCGACUUUUUUUUUUUUUUACUUUUUUCUUUUCUUUUCUUCUCCGACUCUUCUCCACCGUCUCCGACGACGACGCCUCUCUCGUCUUUCCCCGCCCUUCUCAUCUCUCCCUCUCCUUCAUUCUCUGCCGCCUCCGACGACGAUGCAUCUUCGCCGGCGCCGACGUCGACACUGUGGAGGUCACUACGGCGCUACAGGCUCGGAGCGGGGGUCCUUAGCGGCGUUGUCGCCGGCACCGUGGCUGUUGGCAGAGAGGGUGACAAAAAAAAAUUAUAAAAAAAACAGAAAAAAAAAUAAAGAUAAAAAAUCAUAUAAAAAGAAGGAUGAACAUGAAAUUGCAUCGUUAACUGCAAAAAAAAUUAUAAGUUGCACUACUUAAGAUGUAAACUGCAGCUUUAAGAUGAAAACUACACUCUUUAAACGAAAAUUACACUCUUUGAGAGAUAUUUACACUGUUUCUCUUCUUAUUACACUCUUUCAGAUGUAAACUGUAUUCAUUAAAAUGGAAGUUACACUCUUUAAAAAAAAGUUGCACUGUUUCUCGUCUUGUUGCACCAUUUUUCCUCUUGUUACACUAUUUUUUUAUCUUAAACUGCACCCUUUUAAAAGAUAUUUAUACUGUUUCUCCUCUUGUUGCACUGUUUCUCAUCUUGUUGCACCAUUUCUGUGUAAACAAGAGAAGAAAUAGUGCAACAAGAGGAGAAACUACACUGUUUUAAGAGAUAAAUAUACUGUUUCUCCUCUUGUUGCACCAUUUCUGUAUAAAUAGGAAGAGAAAUAGUGCAACAAGAGAAGAAACUACACUGUUUUAAGAGAUAUAUCUACUGUUUCUUCUUUUGUUGCACUGUUUCUCCACUUGUUGCACCAUUUCUGUGUAAACAAUAGGAGAAAUAGUGCAACAAGAGGAGAAACAAUGCAAUAAGAGGAGAAACUGCACCCUUUUAAGAGAUAUUUAUAUUAUUUCUACUCUUGUUGCACUGUUUCUCCUCUUGUUGCACCAUUUCUAUGUAAACAAUAGGAUAAAUAGUGCAACAAGAGGAGGAACAGUGCAAUAAGAGGAGAAACAGUAUAAAUAUCACUUAAAAGGAUGCAGUUUAAGAUAAAAAAUAGUAUAAUUUUCGUUCAAAGAGUAUAAUUUUUAUCUUAAAGCAGCAGUUUCCAUCUUAAAUAGUACAACUUAUAAUUUUUUUUGUAAUUAACGAUACAAUUUCAUCUUCAUCCUUCUUUUUAUAUAAUUUUUUAUCUUUAUUUUUUUUUCUGUUUUUCUAUAAUUUUUUUUGUCACCUUCUCUGCCAACAGCUACGGCGCCGGUGACGACGCCGCUAAGGACCCCCCCUCUCCGAGGCUGUAACGCCGCAGUGACCUCUACGGUGUCGACGUCGGCGCCGGCGAAGAUAAAUUGUCGUCGGAUAUGGCAGAAAAGAAGGGAGAGGGAGAGAUGAGAAGGGCGGGGAAGGGCGAGAGGCGUCGUCGUCGGAGACGGUGGAGAAGAGUCGGAGAAGAAAAGAAAAGAAAAAAGCAAAAAAAAAAAAGUCGCGGCGCGGCCUGGGCGGGGUCGGAAGCGAGGAAGGUGGGGGGUGCAUGGACGAGGGCAAGGGCGAGGGCGAGAGCAUGAGGGUGAGAGGCGAGACGGAUCGUUUCUGCCUCCGCUCUGCCGGCGAGAAAAAAAAAAAGAACAAGAGAAACGAAGAAGAGAGAGAAACAGGAAAGAGAAAAAGUAAUAAGGGUAUUUUGGUUAGUUUGCUGAAAAAGCGGACCGAAUCUGCAAAAACGAAAAAGGUGGUCCGGUUUUACAAAAGUCCAAAAUAAGUAGAUUUUUUAUGCAAAUUGGCCAUUAUUUUUCCUUCAAUCAAUUGUCUUAUUUUGGUACAGUUUUUAUCCACAAAUUGUACAAAUGGUACCAAACCGAAUCGUCAACACACCCACAAAUUCCUAUGGCUUGGUCUAAAAAUGGUUUUUUAUAUUCUUUUACGUAACCCUGUAUAUCAUUUUCAUAUCCACGUAGUCAUUUAUUGUGAAUUAAGCAACAUUUAUAUAGCAUACGUUUUGUUGGGUUUCAUUAAAAAAAAAAAAAAAGAAAAAGAAAAUACGAAUGGCAUUGUUCCAACUAUUGUUUUGUUUUUAUUUUUUAAUGGAAAAACUUCAAAAAACCCCCUUGUGGUUUCACUUUUUUUCACUUUAGUACCCUGUGGUUUAAAAUGUAUCAAGUUAGUACCCUGUGGUUUAUCACUUUAUCACUUUAGUACCCUAUGAUUUAAAGUGUAUCAAGUUAGUACCUUGUGGUUUUGCACUUUAUUACUUCAGUACCCUGUGGUUUCGCACUUUAUCACUUUAGCAUCCUGUGGGUUUAAAAAUCACAUGGUACUAACUUGAUACAAAAUUAAAACCACAGGGUACUGAAGUGAUAAAGUGCAAAACCACAGGGUACUAACUUGAUAUACUUUAAACCACAUGGUACUAACUUGAUACACUUUAAAUCACAGGGUACUAAAGUGAUAAAGUGAUAAACCACAGGGUACUAACUUGAUAUACUUUAAACCACAGAGUACUAAAGUGAUAAAGUAUGAAACCACAGAGGGGAUUUUUGAAGUUUUCCCUUUUUUAAAACGUUUUUUUUUUGCUUUUUAGGUGAUGCAAUUUAGGUGCACGAAUACCCUUUGACAUCGAGAACUAUUGUUUGCAAAAGAUUGGAUCUUUGGUCCUUAAAUUAUGACAUGGGUGACAUUUUUGUCCUUAAAUAUUAAUUUAUUUUAUUUUUUGAAUCGAAUUUUAAGAAUUAUUAUAAUUUUAUAAUUUAAUUUAGUUGAUUAAAUAUUGACUCUGUACUAAUAUAAAAAUAAUAUGAUAUUUUAAUUAUUGACAUAUUAUUACUAAUCACAAUGCUAUUAUAUUACUUUCACAUUAAUAAUGCACCAAUAUUAUCUCUAAAAAAAUAAUAAUAAUAAUACACCAAUAUUUAGUCAACUAAAUUAAGAUACAGAACUUAAUUAUAAUAAUAUUUAAAGUAGUAGCUAGAAAUUAACUAUAAUAAACUAAAAUUUAAGGAUUGAAGUGUCAUCACCGUCAUAGUUGCUAGUUGAGGACCACGCAGUCAAUGUACCAGUACUGGAAUAAGAAAAGUUUCUUUGAGUGGUUAAAUUUAAAUUUUGAAAUACUAGUUACAAUUAAAAGUUAUGCUUUGAUUUUAUAUAUAUAGAGAGAGAAGAGAGAAAUGAUUCGGUACCUUACUUUAUAAAAAAUAAAAAAAAAUCUUAACCCUUGAUUAAUGAAGGUUAAAAAUAUCAUUUUAUUAUGUAGUAGGUUAAAAGUUUAUUUUAUGUGAGGGUAUUUUUAUAAUUAAACUAAGCAAAAUUUUAAAAAAGUUUUGAAUAAUAUCCCAAAUUUAGCAUAAAUUUUACAACUAAUUUAAGCAUUAAUUUAAAACAUGAUUGAUAUCCCAAAUUUUAGCAUUAAUUUUAGAAAUUUUAGAAUUCUUCUAAUAUAGGCAUUAAUUUAAAUUUUAGGAAUUUUAGAAAUAGCAGUAAAUAUGUUGAAUUUAAAUAUUUAAUAUUUAAAUUUAAAAUUAAAUAAGAGAAAUUUUGUAUUACUAUUUUAACAAAUUUAAUGUUGAUAAUAAUGAAUUCAACAUAUUUAAUUUGUUUAAGAAAAUUUUAAAUUACUCUAGUUUAGAUAUUAAUUUUUUAUCACAAUCUUUAAAAAAAUUUGAAUGUAGGUAAAAAAAAUUAAAAUUCAACGUAUUUAAUAUAUUGUAAUAUUUUUUAAUAAAAUAUUUGCGGAUUACGGAUAUGAAAUGAUAAAAUAUCUUUGGGUUAUGGAUGUCAAUAGUUACGAAUAUCCAUAAUUUUAUCUGAAUCCGAAUCCAAAGCCGAAAGCAAACGUAGUAGAUUUACCUAUGCUUAAUGGAUAUAGUUUUGGAUGUGGAUAUAAAAAAUGAAAAUCCGAUGAAUUUAAAUUCGGAUGCGGAUUUUGAUUAUAUCUGAUCCGAACCUAAAACCGACCGAAACCAAAAUUUAUUUUACAUUAUAUAUAAUAUAUAUAAAUGUUUGAUGUUAUAGCUGAAUAUGUAUUUUUAAAAUUUAGAUUUAAUUUAAUAUAUUUUAAAAUAUUGUAAAGAAAAAUAAAUGUUUCGAGUUCGGAUUUUCAGGUUCGGAUUAGGGUCGGGUUUUGGAUUUUUAGUCAGGUACGGGUAUAAAUAUGAUUUUCUAAAAUUCGUCGGAUUUGGGUUCAGGUUCGGGUUUCAGCCGAUUUGAUAGUCGAGUUUGUGUUUGGGUUCGAAUUUUUAAAAAUUUGCUCAGAAUCCUACCCUUUUAUAUCUGUACUGUAGAUGAAGAGGAAAGAUAGAGAGAGAAAAAGAAAACAAAAAGAGAAUAAAGAUUUGAUUUUUUUAUAGUGGAGAUAAAAUUACUAAAUUAUCCAUAUAUUAAAAGACCAAAAUAUCUUUUUUGGGGUAUCUGGUAAUCGGUAUCUCUCUCAAAGUGACUUGUUAUUGCGGGUCAUAAUUUUAAAAAAAAUUAAAUCCGAACUGUAGAAUAGAAAUGACUGAAUAAUAUCAAAAACUAACAAAUAUAGAAACAUUACUCAUAUAUAUAUAUAUAUNAGUCCGGCUACUAUACUCUUAGGAGUACGAUCGACUUCGUACCCAUAAGUUGUUUUCGAUGAUAGAGCUUCCGAAUCGACGAUCCAUACCGUUAAACAUUAUCUAGAGCAUUUAAAAUUUCUAGAAAUCAAAUUUUAUAAUUUUUUAAUAUCAUUUACCUUACGAUUAAAAGCUCACAAAAUUGACAAUUUUUAAUGGCCGGUAUGAGAUAUUUACUAGUUUAACGGUGAAAUAGAAUCGGCUGUAGUAUCCUUGGUAUUCUGCAGCCGUGAGAUUUCAGCAUCUGAGACUUGUCGACACAUCUGAAGAGUGUCAGGACAAGUCCGAGUCGUUUUGGCGUGAUAUAGACGCAAAACAGACUCAGUAUGACGCGAGAGCAGGAAUUUAGCACUAAAAUCUGCAAAUUGCAGGUUGUCAGCAUUGAAUACUGGUACUACACAUGGGAGUACCGGUAUCCCAGUCUAAUUUUUUGAUUUAUGCUCUCGGGUUGCGAAGGCUGAUGCGGGGUACGGGUACGGCAUCGGCCUGGUACCAGUAUUCCAGGGUAGGUGAGGAGCCUUUUGGUCUUUUGAUGCCUCGAUCAUUUCACCCUUAUCUCCCGCCGCCUAUAUAGUAUAGAGGAUUUGAGAGAGAGCUUUUGUUUACUCUUCCCUCUCUCUCUCUAGAUUGAAGCCGUGCGCUUGGUGGUGGUCGCGGUUGGAGCUCGGAUCGACGUCGACUUCACGCCGGGGAACCGUUUGAGCACGUGAGCGUCGUAGUUGCAUCGUUGGGAGGCCGAGUGAGCGCGUGGUUCCUCUUCUGUCGACUUUUUGCCGGAGUUGAAUUAGCAUUCGAGGUGGGUUGAAGUUUACCGAAUUCUUCGAAUUUCCUCCUAAGCCUAGUUUGUUGUCAGCAUGUAUUUUUGGCUUCGUAUAUUAUGUUUAGUAGCUCGAUUCGUCGAUUUGCAUUGUUCUUCAAUGAAAUCUGAAUUAGAGAUUUAGUUUAUUAUACAUAUUGGACUUGGAAUUGACUUAGGAGAAAACUAUAGGUUCUACACUGUCAUUUUCUUAAAACUAUCAGAUUUAGCUUUAGGAGCCGCAGUUUGUUUGUAUCGGCGCAGUUUGUAGGCGGUAGAUACCGAGAAUAGUGUAGAAUGAAUUUACGCUCGUGCUGGAAUACCGAGUUUAUUUUUACAGUAGUGUAUAGACUGUUCCGGACUGUCGAGUGCCGUCGCGGCUGACAGUGGACCCAGAUUUCUGUAUUUUGCAUAAAAUUGUGCCGAGGGCACGUGAGUUAUGGUUGUUAGACUAGUUAGACACUUCUGCUUUGACUAUAGUCUGUGAGAGCCUGAUUGAGCUCGGUAGAGAUACGCUUGCAUACUCGAUUGGGUAACGCCCACGAGUGCCACUCCGGAGUCGGACUUUGUGCUUUUGCGUUGUUGUCAUUAUGUCCUGGUUGGACUCGCUCUCCACUGACGACUAAGCAUGGUGGUAGUUAGUAUAACUUCGACAUGCGGGACAGGUGUGUUCACAGUCCCUAGUGAGAUUAGGUCAGAGUUUGUGUAGUGACCCUGGAAUUCAGCAUUUGAGGCUUGUCGACAGCUCUGGAUAGUGUCGGGAUGAGUCCAAGUCCUAUUAGCGCGAAAUAGAUGCAAACUGCACUCAGCGAGACACGAGAGCAGAGAGUUAGCAUUGCAAUCUGCAAAUUGCAGAAUUUCAGCAAUUGGUACCGGUACCACAUAGGGGCGUACCGGUACCCGGUGCAAUUUUCUGCGCAGACUGCUCUCGGGUUGCCCAUUCUGCUGCGCGGUACCGUUACAACAUUGGAUUGGUACCGGUACUCCAGGGUUGGUGAGGGGCUGAAUGGUCUUUUGACUGCCUCGUUGUCUUCACCCUCACCUACUCUCCUUAUAUACGUGUAGAGGAGCAAGGAUGGAGGGUUUUGCAGCUUCUUCUUCUCCUCUCUCUCUAGCUUGUGCCGUACGUGGUGGAGCUCUCCGGUGGAAUCGGAGCGACGUCGACGUUGUGCCGCGGAGCCGUUCGAGCGUGCGUUCGUCGUGGUAGCGUCGUGGGAAGGCCGAGCGAGCGUGUGGUUCCGCUUUUGUCAACUUCUCGCCGUUGUUGGACGCGCUUUCGAGGUGGGUCAAAGUGAUGCUUACGGAAUUUCGCGGAUUUUCCUCCUAAUUCUAUAUAUUGACAGCAUGUGUUUUUUUAGCUUCGUUUAGCAUAUUGUUUAGCUCAAUAUUUGGAUUUGCAUGUUAUUGAUCUUGAAUUGGAGCUUAAAAUACUAGCUAAAUUAUACAUGUUGGACUUGAUUUUUGACUUAGGAGAAAACUGGCGUUUCUACACUGUCAUAUGUUAAAACUACCAGAUUUAGCUCUAAGAGCCGUAGUUUGUUAGUAUCGCCGCAGUUUGUGGGCGGUGAAUAUCCAGAAUAGUGUAGAAUAUAUUUACGCUAGUGCUGAGGUAUCGAGUGUAUUUUUACAGCAGUAUUUAGGCUGUUCCGGAUUGUCGGUGUCGUUGAGGUUGACGGUGGACCCAGAUUGCUGUUUUUGCAUCAGAUUCUGCCGAAGGCACGUGAGUUCAGCUGUUAGACUCUGUUUACUUGACUAUAGCCUAUGAGAGCCUGAUUGAGCUUGACAGAGACAUCCUUGCAUACUCGGUUGGGUAGCACCCAUGAGUGCCACUCCAGAGUCGAGCUUUGUGCGUUUGCGUUGGUGUCGUUUUGUCCUAGUUGGACUUGCUCUCCACUGAUGACCUGGUUUGGUGUCAAUUAGUGUAGCUUCGACAGGCGAAUUGUUGUGUUAGAGCAUGAUAGUAUGGUGGCAUUUAGUUGUAGAUUUAUUCCAGCCUUCCUUACUAUCCCUACUUACUUCUGUAGACUUAGUGGGUGAGCCAUUGAGGUCGGUAGCGGUGCCCACUGAGGACUAUUUCUUUUUGCAGUAGUUCUCAUGCCUAGUUGUUGAAACCUUUUGCAGAGCCAUCUUCUUCAACUGCUGUUGCUGCUGAGUCUGAUCGUGGAAAGGGCGUGGCGAGUUAGAGCCCUUCCUGACGAGUUGCAGAGCUAGAGGAGUAUCAGCUAUAGAUAGUUGUAGUUUUUGGGUUAUGAUACAUACUAAUGCUUGUAUCUCGCUGGAGCGAGUAUUUUUUUGUUUACCUGAAUGUGACGUACGUAUAGUGAACCUCUGAUGUUAUAUAUGUUUUAUUUCGGCAGCUCUAUACUGCUGGUUGUAGUGUUGUAUGAUUACAGGUACACCUAUCGCUUCGUAUAUAGGAAAAGUUUUUUUUAUACGACGGAUUUGUCGGCGUGCCCGGGGAAACGAGUAAUCCGGGGCGUGACAGUUUGCAUUUUCUACAGAUAGUUAGUGUUGGUUAGCGAUAGUAUAAUAACAUAUAGUUGUAGAGUUUUUUCAGCUUCCUUUACUAUUCUUGAGCAUACCUUCUGUAGACUUAGUGGGUGAGCCGUUGAGGUCGGUAGCAGUUCCCACUGAGGACUACUUCUUUUUGCAAUAGUUCUCAUACCUAGUUGUUGACCCCUUUUUGCAGAGCCUCCUUCUUCGGCUGUUGCUGUUGCUGUUGCUGAUUCUGAUCGUGGAAAGGGAGUCGCGAGCUAGAUCCCUUCCAGUUUUGUUGCUGCUUAAAGGAGUACCAACUACAAGUAGUUUUGGAUUUUUGGGUCAUGUACAUGCUGAUGUUAGAUCCUCGCUGGAGCGAGUAUUUUGUAUCUGGAGACUAUGUAUGUAUUGUGAACCCGAUGCUUAUUUUUAUAUGUUACAGUUCUGUUAGCAGCUCUAUACUAUUAGUUGUAGUUUUGUAUGAUUAUAGGUACAGGUACAGCUAUCGCUUCGUAUAUAGGAAAAUUUUUUUUUAUACGGCGGAUUUGUCGGCGUGCCCGAGGAAACGAGUAAUCCGGGGCGUGACAUCGGAAUAGCUUGGAUUUUUGAUAGAAAUUUCUAUUCACUACCUAAAUAAAGAUCAAUAACUCCGAUCUUAAAUUGAAAGAUCCGAUCAUCUAUUUUUAGGAUGUCGUUCUAUACCCCCUUGAUAGACUUUAUAAUGAUUUCGAAAAAUUACGAAAUUUAUUUUCUAGAAGUUUCAAAUACUCUAAAUCAUGUUUAAUGGUGUGGAUCCUCGAUUUGAAGAGCCCAACAGCGAAAACAACUUAUGAGUACGAAGGGCUGUAUACUCAUAAGAGUAUAGUAGCCCUACUAUAUAUAUAUAUAUAUAUAUAUAUAUAUAUAUAUAUAUAUAUAUAUAUAUAUAUAUAUAUAUAUAACUAGGCUGGAANUUUUUUGAAAAAAUAAUUAGCAAAGUACACAUUUUCAAAAUAAAAAGUAUUAGUACAAAUUAGUAAAGAUUUUUUUUUAGAGAAAAUAUAAUAGCAUUCUGUUACUGUUCACUUCGUUUAUCUUUUUAAAGAGAAUAAACUCAUUUAGAACUAUUUAUUUAGUGUUUAAUUUGAGUGCACUUCGAUGUGACACGCACCGCAAGACCAAAUUAUCUCCACGUGCUUGUUUGACUAUGUGGGCUAAUGCUAGAAACGAAAGAUGCAAACAAAUUUAAUUUGGUUGAGCUAUGAAAAGCACUUGUUACUAUCAAUUAGGUUGGUGAACUUCCCAAUGAAUUGAGGUCUAAAUAAUGUAGACAUAAUAUAUAUAUAUAUAUAUGUUUUAUUAGAUCGAGUAUCUAUAUAGUGUUCUAGGGAGUCAAAAUCUAGUUUACUAGCUCAUUCAUUGGCUUCCAUGCUAUAUAUAUAGGUUUCCAUGGUUUCUUAGCAUCAAAGAAGAGAAAAAAAUAAAAAGGAGGGAUCUAAUUAUGCACUAAUAAUAUAGAUCUAAUCAUAUUCAUUUUUGAAAAAAAAAAAACUUAUAUAUAUAUAUAUACCACAUAUAUAUUUUUAAGAACACAAUUCUACUGUUUGAAGUGCAGAAAUUUACAAUAUGCAGAAUUAUAAAAUACAAAAAUUAUAUCUAUACUUCCUAUGAGUAAUUAUUUUUUGGUGUUUUCUUACCGUGAUUCUAUUAAAUUAGAAUGUUUGUUCAAAUAGGAAAAGAUUUUUAAUACCUAAGGCAAUGUUUUUUUAUUGUGUUUUAUUUUUUUUAUCUUUUUAAAUAAAGUUUUGUAUAUCAAAAGAUAUAGAAGUGAACAGUGUAUUGCUUGCAAUGCUUUUAUCCAAAAUAUUUACUUAACAAUAAAAAAUUAAAUCUUAAAAAUAAUUUUUUUUUCUUUCAUUUUUUUUUAAAAAAUUGUCAUUCAUUACUGGACUGGAUACAUUGUAAGCUAACUCACUAUAGAAAUAAAAAAAAAAAAGUUUUUUCUUCCAAUACAUCAAAUUAUAUAUAUAUAUAUAUAUAUAUAUAUAAUGUUAAAAAAUAUAAAAAUGAUAAUGAUACCAAACAAGUCCUGAGUUUUAUAUUUUUAUAUUUUUGAUUCUCUUAUUUUACAUUUCUUAAACAAGGCUGCCAAGUGACAACUGAGUUGCAUGUUUGUCUCUGAUCUAAGCUUGAACAGCAGUAACAGGAAAAUUCAUAAUUCAUAAUUACAAUAUUUGAAAAUACAACAAUGAUUAAUAUGAUUAAUCUAUGGAAACAAUGAUUUUGAGGUCCCACCUUAAAAGGGACACAACAACAACUUCAACUUAGCCCCCACAUCUUUCAAAUAAAUACAAGUUGUUAGAUUAAAAAAAUGAGCAGGAAAAUGAAAGGGAAAGUUCCUUUGAAUAGCUUUAUACAUAUGGGCCUUACUGAAGGAAAAAAAUUGCAAUGGACCCCCAUAUAUAUAUAUAUAGAGAGAGAGAGAGAGAGAGAGAGAGAGAGAGAGAAAGAGAGAGUGAGGCUAGUAUGCUUCUGGAAGCACAGAGUGCUCCGUGCUUUCAAGUCGUUUUCGACGUUAGGACUUUCGAAUCGAUGAUCGGCUUCGUUAGAGUGCCUAGUGAUUGAAGGGGCUCAAAAUCAACGGCUGAAAAUAAAAAUCUUACAAAAUUUAUUUUCUCGGUACUUUAAAUACUCUAGAUCACUCUAUAUAUGUAAUAUACUGAAUCUUAGCAAAUUAGCAAGGUUACAGUAUAAGUUAUGCUUGAUUGAGUUGGAGACGUUUUGCGCAAAAUAGACGUAAAAGCGGACUUUGAAACUUAAGAUUUAUAUUGUAGAGGACUAAAGUUGAAUGCUAGAGUAGGUGAGGGGCUUUUGGACAAUUGUUUCCUUUCAACCUUAUCCCCACCGCCUUAAUUAGGAUAGGGAGGCUGUAAGGGAUUUAAUUAACUUUCUUCUCUCUUUCACUCUAAUUUAGCUCGUGGGCACGAUGGAGAGCUCGAGCUCGGGAGAUUUUCGUUGUCGUUUCGGAGAGCCGUUCGAGCGUGCGUUCGUCGUGGUAGCGCCGUUGGAGAAAAUUGACUUUUCUACGCCGCCAUUUGAACAAACUAUCAGAUUUAGCUUUAGGAGCCGUAGUUUGAUUGUAUUAUCGCAGUUUGUGGGCGGUGGAUACCCAGAAUAGUGUAGAAUAUAUUUACACUCGUGCUGAAGUGCCGAGUGUAUUUUUACAGCAGUGUUUAGGCUGUUCAGAAUUGUCGGGUGCUGUUGAGGUUGACGGUGGACCCAGAUUGCUAUUUUUGCAUCAGCUUGUGCCGAGGGCACGUGAGUUCAAUUGUUAGACCCUGUUUACUUGACUAUAGCCCGUGAGAGCCUGAUUGAGCUCGACAGAGAUACGCUUGCAUACUAGGUUGGAUAGCGCCCACGAGUGCCACUCCGGAGUCGGGCUUUGUGCGUUUGCGUUGGUGUCGUUGUGUCCUGGUUGGACUUGCUCUCCACGGACUGCUUAGUGUGGAGGUAGCUGUUUAGCUUCAACAGGCUGGGACGGGUGUUUUCACAGUCCCUGGGACCGGUGUGUUCAUAGUCCCUAGUGAGAUUGGGUCAAAUUGUACUUUUCUACAGAUAGUGGGUGAUAGACCGGGAUAGUAUAGGUGCAUAUAGCUGUAGAUUUAUUCCAGCUUUCUUACUAUACUUGUUUACAUCUAUAGACUUAAUGGGUGAGCUGUUGGGGUCUGUAGCGGUACCCACUGAGGACUACUUUUUACAGUAGUUCUCACGCCCAGUUAUUGGAAUCUUUUGCAGAGCCUUCUUCUUCGGCUGCUGCUGCUGCUGAUUCGGACCGUGGAAAGGGAGUCGCGAGUUAGAUCCCUUCCCAGUUGCUGCUAAGCUAGAAUAUACUAACUACAGGUAGUGAUAGUUUUUGAGUUCAUAUACAUAAUUAUGUUCUAUCUCGCUGGAGCGAGCGUUUUGUACACCUGGAUUUGAUGUAUGUAUAGUGAACUUCUGUUUUUAUAUUUGUUCUCUUUUAGCAGCUCUAUACUACUGGUUGUAGUAUUGUAUGAUUACAGGUACAGCUAUCGCUUCGUAUACAGGAAAAAUUCCUUUGUAUAUGACGGAUUUGUCGGCGUGCCCGAAAAAACGAGGAAUCCGGGGCGUGACAAUAUAUAUAUAUAUAUAUAUAUAUAGAGAGAGAGAGAGAGAGAGAGAGAGAGAGAGAGAGAGAAAGAGAGAGUUUUGCUAGAAUACUAUUGGUAGUAAACGGCUCGGUUUACUACCGAUUUGUUUUCGAUGAUAGAGCUUCCCAAUUGAUGAUCGGCACCGUUAAACAUGAUCUAAACUAUUUAAACUAUCUGAAAAUCAAAUUUCACACAUUUUCGAUAUUGUUCUCUUGUCCAUCAAAUGAACAGAAAAAUGAAUGGCUGGAAAUGAAUAUCCUUCAAAAAGUUAUGAUACAAUUUUUAUAUUUGAGAUCUAGAGUCUAGAUCUUAUUUUAAAUAGUUUAAAAAAAUUUUUAACAAAAAUUUAGUCUAUACCGUUAAACGAGCAAACGCACCAUAUCGGCCAUUAAAAUUAUAGAUUUUGUGACCCUUUGAUCGUUCAGUUAGUGAUGCCAAAAAAAUCAUAAAAUUUGAUUUCUAGAUAAUUUAAAUGGUCUAGAUCAUGUUCAACGGUGCCGAUCGUCGAUUUGGAAGCUCUAUCAUAAAAAACAAAUCGAUAGUAACGAGCAGUUUACUACUGAUAGUAGCCCGGUCAAAACACUCUCUCUCUCUCUCUCCUCUCUCUCUCCUCCCUCUCUCUCUCUCUCUUCUCUCUCCCCUCUCGCUCUCUCUCUCUCUCCGUCUCUCUCUCUUAUAUAAUAUAUAUAUAUAUAUAUAUAUAUAUAUAUUAUGAUAGCUGGAAUAACUAUUAAUAGUAAAACGCUCUUUUUGCUAUCAAUUUUUCCUUGGAGAAAAAUUGUAAGGUCAGGAUGAUAUUAGUCGUUAGAGUUGAGGGUCCCCACUGGUUAUAGUAUUUAAUCCAAUGGUUAGAAAUAAUGAAAAGAGUUUAUCCAAAGGCUAAAAAACUGGUAGCAACAAUAGGAUUUUGCUACUAAUAGUAGCCCAGUCCAACUAAUAUAUAUAUAUAUAUAUAUAUAAUAUAUAUAUAGUGAGGCUAGUAUGCUUUUGGAAGCACGAAGCGCUCUGUGCUUUCAAGUUGUUUUCGAUGUUAGGACUUUCGAAUCGAUGAUCGGCUCCGUUAGAGUUGAUCUAGAGUAUUUAAAGUACCGAGAAAAUAAAUUUUGUGAUUUUUCAAUAUCAUAUGCCUAGUGAUCGAAGGUGCUCAAAUCAAUAAUUUUAAUGGCCGUAGUGAGCCGUUUGCAAGUUUAACGGUGUAUAAAUAUCCAAAUCACAUGAAAUUUUGAUAGAAAAUUUUUUAUACCAUAUAAAACAAGAUUAAUAACUUUGAUCUAAAAUUUUAAUGUCAUAUCAUCAAUAUUUGUAAGAUUUUUAUUUUCAGCCGUUGAUUUUGAGCCACUUCGAUUACUAGGCAAAUGAUACCGAAAAAUCGUAAAAUUUAUUUUCUAGAUAUUUCAAAUACUCUAGAUCAAGUCUAAUGGAGCCGAUCGUCGAUUCGAAAGUCCGAACAUUGAAAACAACUUGGAAGCACGGAAGCAUGCCAGACGCACUAUAUAUAUAUAUAUAUAUAUAUAUAUAUAUAUAUAGCAGGGCUGCUGCUCUGAGCCGUUUUUGAUGAUGGAGUUUUCGAAUCGACGAUCGGCUCGUUAAACUUGAUCUAGCGUAUUUAAAGUUUCUAGAAAAUAAUUUUUGCGAUUUUUCGAUAUCAUUUACCUAGCAAUCGAAAUGAUUCAAAAUCAAUAAUUUUUAACGACUGAAAAUAAAAAUUCUAUAAAAAGUAGUGUAUAGCACUAAAAUUUCGAUCAGAAAUAGAUCUUGUUGUAGAUAGUAUAAAGAAUUUUCUAUCAAAAUUUCAUCUGAUUUGAAUACUUCUACACCGUUAAACUUGAAAACGGCAGAUAUAAACCAUUAAAAAUUAUGGAUGUUGAAUCCUUUCGAUCACUAGGUAAAUAAUAUCGAAAAAUCACAAAAAUUAUUUUCUAGAAACUUCAAAUGCGCUAGAUCAAGUCUAACGGAGCCGAUCGUUGAUUCGAAAAUUCCAUCAUCGAAAACAGCUCAGGAGCACGGAGGCCUCCGUCUCCUGAGAGCACAGCAGCCUGCUCUCUCUCUCUCUCUCUUCCCUUCUCUCUCUCUCUCUCUCUCUCUCCUCUCUAUAUAUAUAUAUAAUUAUAUAUAUAUAUAUAUAUAUAUAUAGAGCUAGUCUCAUAUACUAUCUAUAUACCAAGGCUACCCGGUAUUAUAGUCUUGGUUUUGAUCUUAGGGUAUUCAAAUCAACGAUCCACACAGUUAAAACUGAUCUUGGGUAUUUAAAGUUUUUAGAAAUAAAAUUUUAUAAUUUUUCAACAUAAUUUACUUUAUGAUUAAAUCAUUUCGAAAUUGUCAGUUUUCAGUGACUACUAUAGCGAGUUUGGAGUUUAACUAUGUAGAAGAAUCUAAAUUUCUUCAAAUUUUGAUAGAAAAUACUUUAAACUAUCUAGAUUAAGGUUAACAUUCUUGAUCUUAAAUUUAAAAGUCCUAUGCUCAAAUUUUAAAGGUUAUUCAAUUUCCACCGUUCAUUUUAACAUACUUUAUUUACCAAGUAAACGAUAUCGAAAAAACUAAAAUUUUAUUCAUAAAAACUUCAUAUACCCUAAAUUUUAUAUAUAUAUAUAUAUAGGAAGGCCAAGUUCUCCCUUGCUUGUCCAGUUGGGUCAUGUUGUCAUCCCUCUAUGUACUCAAGCCCAAAAAUAAAAGCUUAAAUAUUUAAAUUGUCUAUUAUUAUUAUUAUAGUACUGGAACUGCUACAAUCUAUCUUCUAUAUUCUAUAUUCUAUAUAUAAAAGUUUAAUUUCGAAUGUUGAUGUGGAGGCUUCUCCUUAUUUUGGGCCAAGUGGAGCCCAUCUUCAACAAAAUUUUUUAUAUAUACAUAUUUAUGUAUAACUCUGGCAUCUGUUGCCAUUCUCCCUUCUUACGCUCUUCAUCUCCACAUUACAUUUUUUUAUAUAUAUAUGUAUAUCUCUAUCCAGCAAACUCAGGUUUAGUAAGGCUGCAGCUCCUCUCUCAACCUAUACCCUUCCACUAGGGUUUUUUUUUUUUUAUAUAUAUAUAUAUAUAUAUAUAUAUAUAUAUAUAUAUAUAUAUAUAUGUAUUUAUCUGAUGCGUCUAAUUUGGCGUUAGAAUUUAUGAAGAAGCUUGAUCUAAUCAAAUUGGACCAAAAAAUUUAGUGAAUUCAGCAAUUUUUACGAACAGUCCGAAAUAUUCUUUACAUCGUUAUAACUUUUUGCAUAGCUGUUUAUUUUCAGCAUGCAACUCUAAUUCGAAAACAAGUUUUCGAGAUCUAUGCGCGGAAUGGCGCGCAUUGCCAUUUUGGUCUAGGUUGGAAUCUAACUAUAAUUAUUUAGACCUUCCAAUUUAUCUUUUUUAGGCUGCUUUUUGAGAAGUUUUUAUAAUUUUUUUCUAUUUUGAGUCAGUUAGAUUAGUCAGUUAUAAUCUAUGGUAAAUUGCUCUACUAGCUUGAGUACUUUUACAGAAGUUGUACUACAGCUUCUAACAUUUUAAUGUGAAUUUAACUGUUUACAAACAUUUACAAAUGUAUCAAAUGAUCUAUUGUUAAAACUAUUGACUGAGAUUAAGAUAAUUUAUUAAACCCACAUUGGUAUCAAAAGUGCGAAUUAGGCCUUAUUUCGGAGCAAAGCUCAUUUUGAUAUACAAUUACUUUUUUUUUUUUUUCAGAUAGAAAGAAAUAUUUUACAAUUAAGUUUUCCAUCAAAAAAAAAUGUUACCGGAUAUUCGCUUAUCAGACUUUAUGCUACCAAAUUCAACUUUAAAUGACAACAGACGAAUUUGAUAUAUUUGUGAAAAUUCAAAAGAAACUAAAUGACUUGAGAAAAAUUAACGUAAACUAAAUGUGUCAAAAGAGUUAAUUAAAAGGAUUAAUUUCAUAUAGACUCCUACAAAUAUAUUUUUACAAAGUUCAACUUUUAUAUAUUGUUUCUGCAAAAGUCCUGAUAUUUUUUCAAAUAUAUCUUUCUAGUUUGUUACCAUUAAAAAAAUAUUUAUAUUUUAUAUUUUGCCAUCACAAAUAUAUCUUUCCGAAAGGCAUAACAGUAUAUUAUAAAAGUAUAAAAAUAUCAAAAACUAACCGAGCUAAAUUUUUCUAACAGAUUCUUACAGCAGGAAUAUAUUUGAAAAUAUCAAGACUUUUGCAGGAACAACGUAUAAAAGUUGAACUUCGUAAAAAUAUAUUUGGUAUUCACUAUAUUUACAGAAGCUUGUAUGAAAUUAAUCCUAAUUAAAAACAAUGUGUUAAUUCGAAUUUGAUCUGGAAAGAAAAUAUAGGAAUAAUAAUAUCUUUUCAUUAAUAAUAAGGGUGGGAGAGAUUAUUAAGGGCAAGUGACAAUGAGUGAGUACAAAACUUUUCCAGUGACAUCCAAUGUCCUGCUCCCAAAAAAGAUUGCACUCGCCUGAACAGUAAAUAAAAAAAAAAAAAAUUCUACCAUAUGCGCCUCUCAUUUCUCAUUAUCAUCAAAUAUCACUCAAGUUCGUAUCUCAAAACAACUUUAGUGGUAUCCGUGAUAAAGAUCACGUCUGAAUUGUCUGAUAGAAUUUUUUUUUUGUUUUCACUUUUAUUUUUCUGGAAAAAAAAACAACAACAACAACAACGAUCUGCAGCCUACUUCUUCUACUCAUCCCUUAGAGCGUAAAAUUGAUGAUAAAACUCCGACAUGCGGUGAAGACGCGAUCUUAGCUUUGUUCCACGAUCGUCGAACUGGGUAUGAUAUCGUCCUCGUACACGCACCGCACGUACCGGUCGCGGCAGCGGAGCGGUGGAGCGCGCAUUUGCAAUCUCGGUGAUACGGCCGGCGCUCCCUAUCGCCGUGCGAGGCGUCGAUGCAGCCCUCAAAGACGGGCCGGAGCAGCCGCCUCCCGGCGGCGGCGGCUCCGGCAGCCAUCGUCGACGUGCGAGAGAUCGAGCCCCCGCCGCCACCCCCGCAGCUAUAUAACGAUAGUAUUCUAUUGCUUUUAUGGUCAACCACGUUCUUCGCCGAGAGUGGUGGGGUGGUGUAUAUAUAUAUACACACACGUAGAAUGGUGGCCGGAUAAAUACAAGGGGCUUAGAGGUAUCCGCGGGAGAGCUUUUUACACAAGGUGAUCCUAUUCUUGUGCCUUGUAUAUUAUAUUGAGGAGUACAAAAUAUGUUGUUGGGUUGUGGGAGAAGGAGACGAAUUAACGUUCGUGAUUAGAGAGAGGGGCAUAGGACAUGUAAAUAUAUUAUAAGGUAAAUAAAUAGGCGUAAAAUUUAUUCGAAUUAUAAAUUAUUUUGAAUUAAUUGUUUAAUUUUUUAAAGUUUUUAUUUUAUUAUCUAAUCUUUGAAUUUGUUCGGUAUAAAUUAAUAAAGUCAUAUAAAUUUCCUUCAAGGGAUAAAAGGAAAUAAGAAAUAACAACUCCUUUAUAAGUCAUUAUAAUAUAAAUGAUCAAAAGUUUGAUCGAAGAACUAAAAAAUUAGAAACAACAACUCCUUUAUGCUUUCAAAGCACCGUAGUCGAACUUCAUUAACUAAUAUUUAUAUUAUUUGCAUAACUAAUAUUUUAAUUUAUCAAAUUAAUAUAUUAACUAAAAAUAUAAUUGAUUAAAUAAUUUAUUAAUAUUAAUAUAUUGAUUUGUUUUUUUUAUAGUUAUUCACUAAUUAACAUUAUUCUUCAUCAUCUCAUAUAGUAUUCCCAAUUAAUUAAUUUAUUACUUAUUAAAAAAUUAUUUUAUGAAUAUUAGGUGCUUAUUAUUUAGACAAAUUAUUUUUUCCAAUCGUAAUUAUUUUUAUUUCUACCAUUUCAACCCAAUCAUCCAAAUUUAAUUUUUCGUAUCUCCCACAAUAUCUAGAGUCUCAUUCAAAUAUAACAUUGAUCUAAUUCCUGCUUAUCUCAGAAAAUAUACCCAUUCCAAGAAUAAGUAAGAAUAACUUGUUCCCGAACCAAAUAGUUCCUAAUUUAAAAUUUGAAUGCUCCAUAUAAUUUUUCAUAUUUAUCUAUUAUACUUUAUGAAAUUCUCAUAAUUAUAAAUUUAUUAAAAUAAGUAAUUAGCUUAAAUUUUAAAGUUAAAGUAUCGACUCAAAUCAAACAAAUUGAAAGGUUGGAUAGUAAAAUCAAAAUUUUGAAAGAUAAAAUAGCCGAUUUAAAAUGAUCUGUAGUUUAGAUAAUUUAUGUAUAUUAUUAUCAUUUAUUAAUUAUUUUGAUCAUGGUAAGUGAGAGGGUUGUGGACCAUAGGGUAAAUUUACAACAUACCAUAGGGUAAAUUUACAACAUUGGUUUCAUGAUUUGGAUUAUUCCCACAAUUUAUUAUACUAGUAUAGUGACCCUCACAGUGCGAUAGGUAGGUAUUUUGCUUAGUCAUAAAGAAUAUAAAGAAUUUUUAAGAAGAUUGCCUAGUAUUUUUAUUAUUAUUUUUUUUAUACAACAACUAAUAGUAGAAUCACCGAUAUAUUUGUUUAUACUAAUUUUUUACUUCUUUUAUUUUGAAAAUAUUCAAAUCGAAUAAUGUAAGAGUGUAGUAUCCCUGGUGGCCAGCAGCUGUAGAAUUACAGCAUCUGAGGCUUGUCGACACAUCUGGAGAGUGUCGGGACAAGUCCGAAUCAUAUUGACGGGAAUUAGACGCAAAACGGACUCGUUGCGACGAGAGAGCAGAAUUUUUGCGUUGGAAUCUGCAAAUGACAGAUUUUCAACAAGGUGAAUCGGUAACACACAGGAGCGUACCGGUACCCUGUGUGUUUACAGCGCAAACUGCUCUCGGGUUGCAAAUUCUGCUGCGGGGUACCGGUACGGCAUCGGCCUGGUACCGGUACUCCAGGGUAGGUGAGGGGCUGUUUAGUCUUUUGAUGCCUCAUUCACUUCACCCUUAUCCCCACUACUAUAUAUAGGAUAGAGAGAGGCUGAGGAGGAGUUUAUUUCUACUAUGCUCUCUUUUUCUAGUUUGACCGUGAGCAAGGUGGAGGCUUCGGGUAAAGUUUGGAUCGAUGUCGACGACGCGCCGAGGAGCCGUUCGAGUACGCGGCCGUCGUAGUUGCGUCGUUCGAAGGCCGGGCGAGCGCGUGGUUCCUCUCCUAUCGACUUCUUACCGGAAUUGGAUUAGCGUUUCGAGGUGGGCUAAUAAUAUGCUUACCGGAUUCUACGGAUUUUCUCCUAAGCCUAGUUUGUUGUCGACAUGUAUUUUUGGUCUUGUACAUCAUGUUAAUUAGCUCAAAUUCAUUGAUAUGUAUUUUUGCUUGAAAUCUGAAUUUGGAGUAUAGUCGGUGGUUAAGAUAAAUUAUACAUGUUGGAUUUGGAAUUGACUUAGGAGAAAACUAUCAAUUCUACACCGUCAUUUUCUCAAACUACCAGAUUUAGCUCUAGAAGCCGUAGUUUGUUUGUAUCUCCACAGUUUGUGGGCGGUGGAUACCCAGAAUAGUGUAGAAUGAAAUUACACUCGUGCUGGGAUGUCGAGAUUAUUUUUACAGUAGUGUAUAGACUGUUCCGAACUGUCGGGUGCCGUUGGGGUUGACGGUGGACCCAGAUUAUGGCUGUUAGACUUGUUAGACCCUUCUGUUUUGACUAUAGCCUGUGAGAGCCUAAUUGAGCUCGGCAGAGAUACGCUUGCAUACUCGGCUCGGUAGCGCCAACGAGUGCCACUCCGGAGUCGGGCCUAAUGCUUUUGCGUUGAUGUCGUGGUGUCCUAGUUGGACUUGCUCUCCACUGACAAUCCAGCAUGGUGAUAGUUAGUAUAGCUUCGGCAGGCGGGACGGGUGUGUUCACAGUCUCUAGUGAGAUUGGGUCAGAGAUUGCAUUUUCUACAGAUAGUUAGUGUUGGAUUCGUGAUAGUAUAGUGGCAUAUAGCUGUAGAUUUAUUUCAGCUUCCUUUACUAUCUUUGAACAUACAUCUGUAGACUUAGUGGGUGAGCCGUUGAGGUCGGUAGCGGUACCCACUGAAGACUACUUCUUUUUGCAGUAGUUCUCACACCCAGUUGUUGAAUCUUUUGCAGAGCCCUCUUCUUCAGCUGCUGCUGUUGCUGAUACAGAUCGUGGAAAGGGAGUCGCGAGUUAGAUCCCUUCCCGUUUUGCUGCUGAUCUAGAGACAUACCAGCUACAAGUAGUUGUAGUUUUUUGUUCUAUUACAUACUGAUGUUAGUUCCUCGCUGACGAGUGGUUCUUGUAUCGGGAUGCUAUGUAUGUAUGUUGAACCGAUAGUUUUAUUUAUGUAUUUCUUUUAGCAGCUCUAUACUACUAGUUGUAGUAUUGUAUGAUUACAGGUACAGGUACAGCUAUCGCUUCAUAUAUAUGAAAAUUUUCUUUAUAUACGGCGGAUUUGUCGGCGUGCCCGGAAAAACGAGUAAUCCGGGGCAUGACAAGGAGAACAAACUAAAUUUUUUUAUAAGCAUCGCAUACAGAAGGACUUACAAAUUCAAAGCCCAAUGGUGCAGAACAAUCACUAAAGCUAAGAGAUUAAUUUCUAAGUAAAAAAAAAAAAAUCAAAAUUAUUAUACAUAUAUAUAUAUAUAUAUAUAGUGAAGCUAGAAUACUCUCAAAAGCACCAAGGGGGUAGUGCUUUUGAGUUUUUAACCAUUGGAUGGAGAGAUGUAGGGUUGACAUGAUGGUGGUAGGCGGAAUAGUGUUUGAUUCAAAGGGUAUUAGUAAUUAAGGAGUAGAUUCAAGGGCUAGAAACUUAGAAGCACCAAGGGGUUAGUGCUUCUAAAAGUAUUCUAGCUCAAUUAUAUAUAUAUAUAUAUAUAUAUAUAUAUAUAUAUAUAUAUAUAUAUAUAUAUAUUUGUGAAAGAACUCGUAAACACUUACUAUAUUACUAGAAAAUAUAAAUAUAUCACAAAAAAAAGUACUUUCUUAUAGUUUAAAUUUUUAGAAAAAAUUAAUUUUUUUCACGUGAUAACAGAGCACGAGAUCUUCUGUUUAUUAUAUUUUCUAUAAAAUAUAAAAUACUAUUUAACUUUUUUAUGUAAUUGAAAUCUAAAAUAUAAGAAAACACCCUUUUAUGUAUAUCUAACAUAAANGGGCGCAAGACUUAGGUUUGGUAAAAAAAGAAAAUCAACCUCGGAUAAUAAGAAAAAGAGUUUGUUAGCUAGGUUCACUAGCUAUCUAUUGUUAGUGAUAGUAGCGACAAUGUACCCAAGGAGAAGCAAGACCAUAAGAGCUAAAGGAAAAGGGCCAAGAGGUUCGAAAAAAGAUUAGAACACAAGUUUUACUUUAAAAAAAAAAGGAAAUAAGGCAUUUAUAAAGAGGCCAUGGCCACUGUGAGCCUUACUAUGACUCUGUCCCAGUAUAUAGGCAUUUAUAAAGAGGCAAAAAGACAUAAAAUAACCCUUAGUAUUCAAUAAGGACAAAAUCGAAGUAGCGAAGGGACCACAAAAUUGAAACAGCGAAGAGAUAUGAAGCGAUAAUGAAUUGGAUCCAUUUUUCUCAUCAAGAAGGGUAGCCAUAAAUGGAAACAAAGCGGCGAUAAUGAAAACUCCGAGAGAAGAAGAGGCGACGAUGUACCAGGCCAACUUUCUGUCUCGAGGAACCACACUCCGAACAAAGUAACAACAAACGAAAUGAACCGGUUCAACGAUAAGAUGAGAAACCAAUUCAAUGGUAGUGGCAACAAACAAAGCGAACCAGUCCAACAAUGAGAAGAGAAUCCGGCGGUUCAAUAGAAAGUAUUGAAUAGGGAAUCCUGACAGGCAGCUCCCAUGCUUAUAAAGCAAGAAAAACUUGCCACAUUGACUCCUAAUACGGAGAUUAAUAAGAGAAUAUAGAUAUUCUAUGCAUAACGCAAAUAAAGAAUACUUAGCCUAACUUUAAGAAAGUGAAUUUUGAAUUAAAAGUAAUUUUCUUUUUAAUAGAGUAUUUGUUAUAUUUUUUUUGGAAAAUUUUAUUUGAUCUUUAGAAUCAGGUUCCUCAAAUCAGAAGACAAAACUCGCAUCCUAAAAUCUAUUCUAAUUUUAACUUCAAAUUUUAGAUUUAAUUUUAAAUUUUAAUUAAUUUUAAAUUUUUAAUUCAAAAUUGAUAAAUUUGAAAUUUUAAAAUUCAACAUUCUAAAUUUUAAAAUGCUGAAUUUUAAACUUUUAAAUUUAAUAAUUCAAAAUUUUAAAUUUUAAAUUUUAGAUUUUAAAAUUCAAAUUUUCAAAUCUAAAUUUUGUUUUAAAAUUUAAGAUUUAAAAUUUGAAUUCUUAAAUUUAAAAUUUAAAAUUUAAAAUUUAAAAUUUUAAAAUUUAAAAUUAAAUUUUAGAUAUUUAAUUUUAAAUUUUAAAUUUAAAAAAUUAAUUUAGAAAAUUUUUCAAAUAUAUAGCUUCAUAGAAUUGCUUUAAAAAUUUACUUUCCUAAUCAAACUCAUUUAAACAUUCUACGACUUUUCACUAAAAAAGCAAUUCUUGGAACCAAAAUAACUUCAACUGGAAUCACUUUUCCAAAUUUGAAACUUAUAAAAAUAAGAGCCUUUAGGAAACAAGUAUAAACUCGAACAUCAUAAUUAAGUAAAGUGGCGAUGGAAACAGAAUGAGGGAAAAAGGAUAGAUCUGCGCAACAAAAAAAAGGAUAGAUUGGCGCAGCAUCGCGUAGGUAUUUCACUAAUAAAACAUAAUAUGUAACUAUCUUCGUCUAAAGUGUACGUGUCCAACAUGGUACAUGUGUGAACUCGCUACGUAGAUUGCUCCUAUCGGUCCUCUAUUCAAUCCCACAUCUGUAAAAACAAAGUCUGAGCCCACGACUUAGGCGAUUGGGAUACUACCGUAAGAAGUUAACAACUAAUUUAUCAAUUUAAAAUAAUUAACAGUAAUAUACAUAAUUACAUUAUAAUGUGCUAAUGAGUCUAAAUCCAAAUGCAAAGUAUGCAAACAGUGCAAUAGAGAAGAUAUGAUUGGUGGGUAUUGUUUUUUUUUUUUUUUUUUUUUUUUUUUUUUUUAGGGAGUGUGUGCGAGUUGUGUAUUUCAAGAAUAGGUUGGAUCGAUCCGGACGCACUUUUUUUUUGAGAGAGAGAGAGAUAGGUAGCACGCUAUCCGCUUUGUUUAUUUCAUUUAGAAAUAAACUUAGCUGAAAAUGUGAAUCAACUAGGAUUCGAACUUGGGUCUUGGGUACCAACCACCAAGCUCUUUGUCACUUGUUCUAGGGACAGUCGGUGCUCACCUAAUAUUGUUGAAUAUAAAUAAUAGGAAUACUAUCUAGGAAUGGUCGGUGGGUAUUGUUGGUACCACAGACACCAAAUGCCAUACUGUGACUCCAUCUUAUUCCAUACCUCGCACCUCCAAUAUUGUAUGUCACUUCAGAAUAGCUCUUUAUAACGUACGUAUCUGACCUCAGGUGUACAUUAUCUAUCCUCACUGACACUAGCUAGCUAGCUAUUUGGACGUUCGGCCAUCCUAAUGCAUAUUGAUCUUUUUUUUGAGAGAUAAGUAGCACGCUACCCGCUUCGUUUAUUUCAUUUAGAAAUAAAUUUAGCUGAAAAUGUAAAUCAACUAGGAUUCGAACUUAGGUCUCGGGUACUAGCCACCAAACCUUUUGUCACUUGCUCUAUGGACGGUCGGUCCUAAUGCAUAUUGAUCGUACCAGUUAAUAUGCUCGAGUGUCGCCCAAUAUGUAGCAUCCCUAAUACGAUAUACGUGUGCCAGUUUUUCGACGCCGUACAAGUACCCGGCCAUGCUAAUGUUUGACUCACGCAUGUCUGGCCCUACUAAACUUGGUAUUGUAUAUCGACUCGUGUGUGCCCUAUUUGGAAUCGCCACUCCACAGAUCAUAAUAGUGGUAGAAUCCCAAAUAAAACACAAGAAUCACAGAUAAAACACUAGAUUGGUUCCUCUGAACUACAGAGUCGUGCAUGGCUAAUUCAUAUGAGUUGUAUACAUUUUACCAAGAACUUGAGUUGGGAGUUUUGUGCAUAUUUUUUUUUUCCUUUUUUUGUGUGUUUUCUCUGAGGGGAGGCUACCAAGUAGUGGGAGGUGGCAAUUCAGCUCGCUAUUCACAAGCCAGCUCGUGUUCGACUCUAAAUGAGCUCGAGAUCGAAUCGCUCGUUCAAUAAAUUAACGAGCAGAAUACGAGCUGGGAUCAGCUCGCUUAUGUUCGGCUCAAUAACGGCUCGAAUACAUAUAUAUUUUAUAUUUAUAUAAUAUAUACUUUUAUUAUUUUAUUUUUAGCAAAAUAAAAAUAUAAAGCCGAGCUCAAUUAUAAAAAGACUUAUUUAUAUGUAAAGUUUCAAUCUUUUGAUUAAAAUCUAAUAGGUAAGAUUUUAUAAAUUUAAUUUUUUAUAUAUAUUCAAAAUCCUUUUAACUUAUUAUUCGUUGACCGGCGCUCGUAUUCGGCUAGUUUAUUAACGAGCCGAAUACAAACUGAAUUUUUCAACUCGAUACAUUAAGCACCCGUUUGGUUCAGGGUUAAGGGGUGGAAUAACCUCUUAACCCCGAAGUUAUUCCUAAACACCUAAUUGGGAGGGUGGGGUUAGCUAAUCCCACCUCACCCCACUACUCCAAUCAAACAAAACACUUUUUUACCCCCUAUCUUUCUUAUUUCACUUACUCCAAUCAAACACUAUUUUACGUAAUUCUGUACUAACUCCAAUUCUCAAUCAAACAUAAAAUUAUUCUAAUCCCACCUUAACUCUGAACUUAACCCUAUCCUUAAAAUAACUAGCUUUUUUUUAAUCCCGAACCAAACGAUAGCUAAAGAACCAGCUCGUGUUCAAUAAACGAGCCGAACACUAGCCUCGACAACCCUAGUUUUCUAGGAGGGGGAGGCUAGCAAGUACCAAGUGGGUGCAGUUAUGGCAACACUUAUUUAUUUAUUCAUUCAUUAGAUCAGAAAGGAGGGGACCUCUCAAAAUUUGAACAUGCUUGCAAUUCAUCCACCGCACCGCUCGCCUCUGCUGGCGGCACUAAUGAGCGAAAGCAAUCCGAGGGUAUCUUUUCUGUUGCCGUACCAAUAAUGGCCGCGGAAGCAGAGCUGGCGCAAGCAGCAGCGGCACCAGUCCAGUACUAGGUGCGGGGACCACGGUCUCCUCACUCUACAUCGCGCCACGUGUAACCACUGUAGCUGUGGUCCCCACACGCCUAGGCGACCGCUCCGGACCCGUCACGCUACUAAAUACUAAUUUCCCGAGCGAGGACCACUUUACUUGCACAGUAAUUCCCUGGACCAAAUGCACCAACGUUGUUCGUAGACUUCUCGUUCAUCUUUUCUUNUUUUUUUUUUUUUUUUUUUUUUUUUUUUUUUGUUUGCGGUAAUUUCUCGCUUUUUUAUUUUAUUACUACUACUCUUUGUGUAAACAUUUUUGUUAACUCUCCGUGAAGUCAUAUAUAAAAAAUUUCAGAUACCCUUCAUAAUUUACUGAAUAUUUAUUUUGGUACCUUUUGGUUUAUCGAAUUUUUAAUUUAAUACCAUGUGAUUUUAACUUUAUCACUAAUUUAACGAUAAAAUUAAUAGAGUGGAUAAUGAAGAAGAAAAAGUAAAACCACAUGAUACUAAAGUAAUGCAUUUUAAAAUUUAAACUACAAGAUAUAAAAGUGAGAAAGCGCGAAACUACAAGAGUGGCAUUUGAAGCUCUCCUUUUUUUUUUUUUUUUAAGUGAGAAAUUCUACUUUUACGGCCAAAAAGGGUGUAGAUCUUACAAUCCUAUUUUAGAGUUCAUAAAAAUUUAAAUAAUAUUUAGUAAAAAUAAAAAAAUUAAUUGACAGGUAAAAAAUUAAUGGUUCUUGGAUGAAUGUGGGUGCAGUAGCAUUGCUCUUUUGAAGUAGGGUAAAUUGAACUUGUGGCCCUCAAACUAUAGGUCAUGUGACACUUUGAUCCUUAAAUUUAAAUUCAUCGUAAUUUCUAACUCGAACUUUCAAAAUCCUUGCAACAAGUCCCACAAUCUAAUUAGUUGCCUAAAUAUUGACAAAUAACUAAUAUAUUUUAUUUUUACAUUAAUAAUGCGCUAAUAUUUAAUUAAUUAAAUUGGGUUGUAAGACUUGAUUGUAAUAAGUCUGAAAUUUUGAGUAAAAAAUUAUACUAAGUUAAAAUUGGAGGACCAAAGCGUCACCAACAUCAUAAUUUGAGGACCAAAUGUGCAAUUUACCCUUUUUUUGAAAAAAAAAAUUCUUUGGGUCAAGUUACACUUUGGUCCUCAAACUUUAUUUUAUUAUAAAAUUUAGCUUAAAAAUUUGAAAAUUAUUAUAAUUAAAUCCAACUGCUAUAUGCUGGUACGCUACUAGUGUCAGAGUAAUGUAACAUCUUAGUAAUUGUCAUGAUAUUAAUUUUAGCACCAUAUCAGCAAUACAUAAAUAUAUACUCAAAGAAAUUAGGCUAUAAAUCUUGAUUGUAACAAUCUUAAAAAAAAAAAUCUAAGCCAAAAUUUACAAUAAAUAAAAAAAUUGAGGGCCAAAGUGCCACAAACUACAUAAGUUGAGGGCAAAGCUGUAAUUUGGCAAUUCUUUUAUUACCGUAGUUUCUUUUUAUCGUAAUGAUCAUUAUAAAAUAGGAUGGUAAAAUAAUGUUUUUUUUACAAACCACAAAUAGUAGUUCAAAAAGCAUUACUUUUGCUAUCUUGUUAAAUAAUAGGUUCCUAAGAUGAGAUAAAAAUAAAAUUAUGGAAUAAUUACGUAUAAUUUUUGAACAAUUAUGUGACAAAGUUAAAAUAUAUUAAACCAUAUUGUGGUAAAUUAAAAUUUACCCUCUUGUUUAUCCUCGAAAAAUGCAACUAUAACCUAAGGAUUGGAAUCAUAUAAUCAUCUAUCCUAGAGUUGAUUCAAUCCUUUUUGAAUUUUAGUAUUAUUUAAAAAAAAAGGAUUAGUGGAUGGAAUUUGACUUUUAGAUGGUCAAAUUCUAAGAUUACAAUCUAAAAAUGGGUUGUAAUCUUAGCAUUUCUCUUAAUAAUUAUCAUCGAAUAACUACUGGGUAUUUUGAAACACGUCCCUCAACUUUUUCUAACAUAUUCUUAACUUCUAAUUUUUAUUUAAGUUACUUUAAUUGGUCGGGAUACAAAUUUUAUUAAAUUUUCUGACUUUAUUAGCUGACAAUUAUUACAAUUUUUUUUUGAUAAAACUAAUUAAAAUAAAUUUAACAAUUUGUUAACUUAUUUGAAUAAAAUUAUUUAACCACAAAAAAUAGGUGAAUUGUUAGUAAAAAUGACAAAAGUUCAAAGGGUCAAUUUCGAAAUGGCGCAGUUGAGGGGGUCUACAAGCACUUUUAACAUUUGGUCUACAAGCACUUUUAACAUUUGGGAGGGACAUGCUUAGACUCAAGGAUAUCUACAAAUGGGGAGCGUACUAUACGCUGGGUAAUGGGAGUACUAUCGACUUUUGGGAGGAUCGGUGGUGUGGGGAAACAACACUUCGCGCGUCAUUCCCUAAGAUAUUUUCCCGCUCUCCUUGUAAAAACUUGAGAAUCUACGAAUGUCUGAGUAGUAAUGGCUGGUGCUGGGAUACGAUUUUGGGUCAAGACAGUAUUGCUAAUCCCAGCGCGAACUCUGAGGUUUUACUCCUCAAGGACAGGUUAUCCAUUGCUACUACUACUCAAGGACACGAUAGCGUGCAGUGGCGUUGGAGUACUGAAGGACGAUUUACCAUGAAGUCAACCUACUCUACACUGCGUGACGGAGGCACGAGGGACACCCGAUAGAGUAAGAUCUGGUCUUUACGUUUACCCAUAAAAGUGAAAGUGUUCUGCUGGCUCGUCCUAAAGAAAAGACUGUUCACAACUGACAAUUUGGUAAAGCGAGGUUGGACUGGAAAUACGAAAUGCGUACUGUGUGGUCUGGAAGAGGAGACCGUUGACCACCUUUUCUCUCAGUGUUUAAUCUCAAGAUACCUUAUAACAGUCACACAAGAGAACUUCCAUCUGGGGAACCUAGGAGAUGAUGUGCGUGUGGUUUGGGACGGAUGGGCUGAAACAAAUAGAUCUUCCACUAUCUCAGCACGUCGUUUCAUAGGACUUAUAGCAACCUGGUGGAUCAUCUGGGAACUCCGAAAUAGGGCGAUCUUCAGGACGUCUCAGUACGAUCCAACAGUAGGUACUUACAAGAUCAUUCAGUUGACGGACCUGUGGAUGAAACUUUUGCCAAACUGACUCAACUGUAGCUGACCACCCCCCCCCCCUCCCCACCCCGCCUUUUUGCUCUUUUUUAUUAUUUUUUUUAUUUUUUUUUCACGUCUUCCCGUCACUUGCCGAGCCCUUGCUGCCUCACCCAUGUAGCUUAAUUCACUUCCUUACUGAAUGAAGCAGGUAGCGUGCUACCAUUCUCUAAAAAAAAAACAUUUGGGAUCAAUUAGUUUAUUAAUUUACAAUAUUUAAAAAGAUACUUUAAAUUUUACGCCGAGAGAGAUCUUGCUCAUAAAUAAUACAACUUAAGAUUGUUAACCACAAUUUUAUAAUAUACCUAUUAGCUGCGAAUAUGAUUCCACAACUUUGUCAACACCUUAUAUUACAUUUCAUUUGAGUUAGAUAGUAACACUUUAACUAUCUUAGAUUAAAACUACCUAAGGAUUUCUAAAAUAUUACCAACCUUGAAAUGAAUGACCCAUUAUUUAAAGGUAAAGAUUUAUAAAAUUGAUCUCACUUGCGGGUUGUUUUGAUUCGAUCACCCAACUUUUCAAAAUUAUAAUUUUAAUAUCUAAUUUUUUGACUUGUUUGAUUUAAGCGAUUUGAUAGCUCUUCGAAUACAGAAUUUAAACUAAUUACUUAUUUUAAUAAAUUUAUAGUUAUAUAAAUUGAAUUAAACAUACUAACUAAAUUAGUAAAGACAAAUGCCACAUUUAAAUUUGGCCAAUUUGCAUAAAAAAUUCAUUAGUUUUGAGUUUUUGUAAAAAUAUGCCGUCUUUUUAGAUUUUGCAGAUUCGGGCCCGAAUUUUUAGAAAACUAAGCAAAAUACCCUUAUUCCCUUUUCUCUGUCAUUUUUUUUCUUUCAACUCUGUCCCACGCGACCUCAACCUCACCCUCGCCCGCGCACCCUCGAUUCGCCUUUCUCGCCUCCAAUCCCGCCGAGGCCAUGCCGUGACCUUCUUCUUUUUUUUUUCUUUUCGAUCUUUCUCCAUCGCCUCCCUAGCUCUUUACAACAAUAAAAAGGGCAACGUCACGUCAUUUUUCUCUCAUUUUUUCUCUCGUUCUUUGUUUUUUCUCUUCGACCCUACUCUAUCGCUUCUACGACGCUCCACGACAAUAAAAAGGGCAACGUCACGUCCUCUUUCUUUCAUUUUUUCUCUUGUUCUUUGUUUUUUCUCUUCGACCCUACUCUAUCGCUUCUACGACGCUCCACNCUUUCUCGCCUCCAAUCCCGCCGAGGCCAUGCCGUGACCUUCUUCUUUUUUUUUUCUUUUCGAUCUUUCUCCAUCGCCUCCCUAGCUCUUUACAAUAGUAAAGAGGAUAACGCCACAUCCUCUUCCUCUUCUUUUUUCUUUAGUUCUUUUUUUUUUCUCUUCGACCCCUCUCCAUCGCCUCCGCGACCCUCCACGACAAUAACGAGGACAAUGCUGUAUCCUCUUCCUCUACUUUUGCCAGCACAGGCACCAACGCUGGCACGGAAGAAGGAGGACUCGGGGUGAAUGUGGGCGAGAGUAGAGCCGAAAACAAAAAUGCAAAAAAUAAAAAAAUGAAGAAUAAAAUAUAAAGAAAAAAAAAUUUUUCUAUAAGAAAAAUAAAAAAUCGGAGAGAAAAGAAGAAGAUGAUAAAGUUGCACUAUUUCAAAGAAACGUUGUACUGUUUCAAGACAAUAUUGUACUGUUUUAGAAAAAACUUGCUUUGAGAGAAAAAUUACACUUUUUGAAAAAAAAAAAAGUAUACUUUUUUUAACGAAAAUUGCACUUUUUGAAUAAAAGUUGCACUUUCUGGGCAAAAAUUAUAUUGUUUCUCAUCCUCCUAUUUCUUCUUCUUUUUCUUCUUUGUUCUCGUGUGUUUCUUCUGUGCCCAUAUCUUAUUUGCCCUCCAUCUCCAUCGGCAAAUCCUCCGCCCAUCUCUAUCCAACCCUUUUUAUUUUCCUCUCCGGUGGUGGAAGAGGGUUAGAGAGAAAAAAAAAGAAGGUCGUGGUACGGCCCCAACGAGCUUGGAGGCGACGAGGGUGAGGGCCUAAGGGGUGCGUGAGCAUGGGCGAGGGCACGCAGGGCAGAGACGAUGGUGGAGAAUCUGCCGACGGAGGUAGAGGGCGAAGAAGAAAUGGACACAUAAGAAACACACGAAGACAAAGAGGAAGGGGAAGAAAGAGGAGGAGAAGAAAUAAUAUAAUUUUUGGCCAAAAAAUACAACUUUUAUUCAAAGAGUGCAACUUUCAUCUAAAAGUAUAAUUUUUCUCUCAAAGAGUGUAAGUUUUCACUAAAAUAGUGCAAAGUUUUUCUAAAGCAUUGCAAUGUUCUCCUGAAAUAGUGCAACUUCAUCAUCUUUUUCUUCUCUCUCUGAUUCUUCAUUUUUCGUGUAGAAAAAAAUAUUUUUUUUAUAUUUUAUACUUUAUUCUUUAUUCUUUUUAUUUUUUAUUUUCUGCAUUUUUUUUCUCAGCUCCGCUCUCACCCGCACUCGCUCUGAGUUUUCCUUCUCGAGCACUGGCGUCAGUCCCUGCGGCGGCGAAGGAGGGAAAAAGGAUACGACACUGUCCUCGUUACUAUCGUGGAGAAUUGCGGAAGCGGUAGAGAGGAGUCGAAGAGAAAAAGAACAAGAAUGAGAUAAUAAAUGAGAGGAAAAGGAUUGCCCUCUUUACUGUUGUAAAGAGUUGGGGAGGCUGUGGAGAAGAGUUACAUAGAAAAAAAAGGCUCGUGAUAGCGGAGUCGGAGGCGAGAAACGCAGAAGGAGGGUGUGCGGAUGAAGGCGAGGUCGCGUAGGACAGAGGCGAGGUGGGUGCCUCCGCCUUAGCUGCCCUCUUUGGAGAGAAAGACAAAAAAGAGAACGAGGGAAAAAGAAAGGAGAGAGAAAAAGGAAUAAGGAUGUUUUGGUUAGUUUUCUUAAAAUUCGGUCCGAAUUUGCAAAAUUCAAAAAGAUAGCCUAUUUUUGCAAACGCUCAAAACUAAUAAAUUUUUUAUGCAAAUUGGCCUUUACAUUUUUUAAAUUAAAAAAUUACUAAUUGACUCAAAUCAAAUAAAUUAAAAGAUCAAAUAGUAAAAUUAAAAUUUUUAAAAUUAGGUAUUCAAACCUAAAUAAUUUAUUGUUGAGAUAAGUUUUAUAUAUUUUUACCUUCCGAGGUAUUUGGUUGUACAUAAAACCGCAAAAAAAAAUUUCAUGGAAAAAAAAGUUUUGCAUUUUGUACUAGGUUUGUAGGAAAGAAAAAGUGAUUUUUAUCAAUAUUUAUUUGAUUGAGAGAAAAAACAAUCACAUUUGUUUGGUACGCUGGAAAAAAUGAAUGAAAAAAAUUUUACAUGGCUUGAGUUUUCAUUUUCCGCCGAAGUCGAAAAUUGAUGAAAAAUAAAAUUUUCCAUUUUUUUCAAAUUGUAAAAAUAAUUUUCCAAAAUAUAUUUUUACUGCUAAACAAAUACAUAAAAAAUAAUUUUUCAAGCCGAAAAAUAAUUUUCGUCAUCCCUUAUCAAUACCAAUAUAUUAAAGGGCCAACCGAAAACUCCUUCUACAGUCACUCCGCGUUUUUGGUGUGGAUCCCGCUGUUUUCGGCCUGUGGGUCCCUCUCUCUAUGCUGGUCAUCUCUCUCUCUUUCCCCCUCUCCGUAUUUUCGGUUUAGUGGGUCCCAUAGAGAAGGGUUCCUGUUUAAAUAUUACUAGUGCAGGGACCCGCGCGUUGCUUCGGAUAACUAUUGUAGAAUUAAAAAUUUAUAGAGAAUAAAAUAUAAAGAUAUACAAUUCAAAAAAAAAAAAAUCAAAAUAAGGCAUAUUUUCAUAUUCCAUGAAGCUAGAAAAGAAAAUGCAUGAACAUAUUAGCACAAUUAAGUUAUAUUUAUUAAAAAAAUAAUUGAAGGCUUAAAUUUUUUUAUAUAAACCAUACACUCAUUUUAGAGUUAUAUAUAGUUCUUUCCUUUUCCUGAGGAAGGAGCGAUCAAGCGUGUGGGAGUAGGGAUUAUAUAAGAGCUCUAAAAUAAUUUAACUUAUAAAAUAAUUGCAAAUUCUUUGUCAUACUUUUUUUUAUAAAAUAAUUGCUUGUUCUUACAAUUCUCUUACACUCUCUUUUUCUAAUUUUUAAGUAAACUUUAUUUAUGUUUCUUUAUAUACAUUAUUUUUCUUUUUUUUUUUAUACUAUCAAGGCUAAAGAGAAAUAAAGAAGAAAUCAUCAUACUCAUAAUUGACGAAGCCAAAACCAUGGCUUAUUUCGGAGCUUGAAUUACAAACAGACACAAAAAAAAACAAAUUAUACAAAUAACUAAUAAAUUGGAAACUAAGUAAAUCAUUGUGGCACUUCAAAUGAAAGAAGCAAAUUUUCAUAUAAAUGACAACACAAAUUCCAACAUAAAGAAAGAAAUAAAAGAAAAUCUUCUGCCUUGCAUAAAAAUUAGACGACAAAAUCACAAACAAUCUGAGUUACUUACCCUUUUGAGUAACCAGGAAGUAGCGCCUCAGAGGACCCUCCUUGGUAAAAAGUAAAAACCUCCUCCAACUAAAUACACCAAUGAAAACAAAAGCAAUCAAAUCCCCCUCCUUUCACCAUCAAAGUGAAACCCUAAUUUGUGAAAAUUGUCGAAGAAGAAGAUGAAUUGGGCAAAGGAAGAACCUAUGAGGACUUGAAUGAGUAAGGGAGUUCGGAGACGACGAUUGUGGCGGGGCAGUGCUUGGCGUCGCCUUCGCCGCCACCGCUAUUGUUGUCCGUUGCAAAAACUCCUCUCAGAUUUGAGGUUUUUCGGCCAAAUCUGAAGCCAUUUUCGGUGUCGAUUUAUCCUUAUCCUCAUCAUUUGCGGUGUUUUCUUUCUGCAGGCCAUUAUCGGCAGGGCGGAGGGCACCACCAGUUCUAUUCUGAAGAUCCCGCCUUCCAUGGCUGCACACCAUCUCGAUCGGACAUAUUUUCGAUCAAAGAUAAGAGCUUUAGACCCUCUGGAAAGUACAACGACAGAGGCGGUAGCAAGAGGAUCGGCGACAAAGGUGGAAUGAGAGUUGGGGAUCUUUCCUGCGAUCUCUCUUUUGGGAUUCCUAGCAGCAGCAAAAAUGUAAAAACGGAAAGUGGGGAAAUGUAAGGAAAAGGAAUAGUCGUAGGGACACGAAUAACUCUGUUCAUUGCUUAUAUAUUUACUUCAUUAAUGAAAAUAUUGUGACGGACGGUUCAUUGCUUCAUUAAUGAAAAUAGAAAAGUUCAUUGCUUAUAUAUUUGCUUCAUUAAUGAAAAAAUUGCAACGGAAGAAAGGAAAAAAUGACUCAAAGAGGGGAGGGGAAACGUUGAGGCGGUUUGGUUUAGAGAUUUAGAGACGUGGAUUGGUUUAAAAGAAGAUUAGCAAAAGUAAAGAAAAAAUUAUCACGUGGCAAAAGCUAUUGGGGAUUCAUAUAUUGUAAUAAAUUAGAGUAAUUGAAAUAGGAGGAAACUUCCGUUGCCCACGGCUGAUGUGGUGCACAGGGUCCAUGCAGUAAUUACUCGAAGCCACCCGAGCCGUCGAGCCGUUUCGUUCCACGUGGAGAUCUUCCAUUGGCUACGUCUUCGGCGUGACUUGUCAGAUAGUGGUCCCCACAUGUGGUCCUGGCCUCGGAAGGUGCGACACGUGUACGGUUGGUGCUGUCCUGAAAAGGACCCAUCAUUCCCCCUUGCCUCGCGCGCUUCUCGAUCGGAACGCUCGUCCGCAACGCAACCCCACGCCUCGCGAGCGACUUGGCCAAACACUAACCGUCCGAUUCGUGUCAAAUCGUACUUCGGCGGCGCGAAGCCCAUCCACCGGCCGAUUCUCUCAAAAUCUCCGCUCGUUAAACCGGUUCCCGGUUUUUUUUUUUUAGAAAAAUGCUAUAUAUACAUUUAUAUACACACACACACACAUCUCAUAAAUAAUCCGGCCAAUAAAUAGGUACAAUGUAUAAUUUACACCCUGAAAAAGUGUACGGAUUAUAUUGCUCAAUUAUUGUUAUUAUUAUCUUGAUUUAUCAAUUAAAAAAAAUUAUGUUUGCAUCAUAUUUAUUUCUAUCACAUUUUGAGAGAACAAAUCAAGUAUAACUCUACACUAAAAAUUUUUUAUACACGAGACUAAUCCUGCUAUACAAUGCAAUUAUAUGAAUGCGUCAUUUAUAUCAGACUGUGCCCACUAAUUUUGUCGAUCAUAGCGGCGGAAUAGUCAUGAUGCGCAAAGUUUUCUGCACGUGGUUAUGCAGAAAAUCUAUACUCACGGUUCAAUCUCAUUAUAAUUUUUUCAAUAAUUUUCUUAAUUAAAUAAUUAAAAUAAACAUAUAAGAGAAAAAAAAAUAUUAAUAGAUAUGUGGCAUAAUACAUCAAAAAUUUUCCAUGGAAUACAAAAAUGUGAGGUAAGAUAUUUUUAAAAAUUCAUAUUAUCAUAUUCCAUUUAAAAAAUGUUUCAGCAUUAAAAUAAAAAUUUUAACAAAGUCCCUGAUGUUGUGUGGGCCGUUACUACGAACCUUUAGUUUUAACAUUUCGUAUAAUUUACGCUCCUCCAUUAAUAUUUCGUUAAAUUAUAUUAAAAAAAACUUCAGAUAUCUCAUCUAAGUUUAUCAAAUAUUUACUUUAUUUUUUUUUCGUUUUAACUUUGUGACUAAUUUAACGAAAAAGAAAUAGUAGAGAAAAUAAUAAAUAGAAAAAAAAACUAUGAAUACUAAAUUGAUACACUUUAAACCAUAUGCUACUUAAAAAGUGCAAAAGUAGAGAGGGUUUUUUUUUCUGGAAUUUAUGUUAGGUGUGUAAAUA
rnacentral:lncRNA from 1 species